UCAACCAGAGUGAAUGAGACUACUAAGCUGGUAUUACAUUUUAAAAGAGGUACAGAAGAUGGUCAAUUCUAACAUGAUAUGUUAAACGAAUUCGUAACUUGUUAAUAUAGUAAAAGAGAGAACUAUGAAAAUAAUAUAUGAACUUGAGAUUUUGAAUUAGGAUUGAAGUGUAGUAGGAAGAAGGAAGAUGUAAUACUAGUUUAUUUUAAACUUGAUAAUUACCAAAUUGAAGUAAGCUAAAAACGAAACUUUAUAUGGUUGGCAUAUACAUUCAUUGAACAGAAUUAUUAAUUAUUACCUUAAUUUGGCAGAGAGCGUUAGUUUUCAUAAAGCAUGCGUGAAGACAAGUAUCAUUAAUUUUUCCAAGAGUCUAUAACUUUUCAUUUUCUUUAGGGUUUAGUAGGGAGUUGAAUCUCGAAUCCUGUCAUGGAACUAUUUUAACCGAAAAGGAAUGGACAAAAGGAGAAAACGUGAAGCAAAUAUCCAUGGAUAAGUUUCAUGCACUGGCUUUGUAGAUUAAAUUAACAAAAACAAUUAAAUUUGAUUUAUGGAAUGAUUGGAAAGUUGGGCGAAGGUGUUAUUUACUAAGUGAGUUUGAUAGAAAAAGAUUUUACGGAAGUUGGAGUGAGUGAUCUCAGCAGCAUAUAGUGAGCGAAGUCCUUGAAGUAACAUCAAUUACUAUGUCGGAGUUGGAGAAAUAUUGUUGUUCUGUCAAGUUCAGGCAUCAUCACUGCCGUGAGAUGGAAGUAGAAACCUUUAUUUUCGGUCUUGCUUGGUUAACAAUUUUAUUUAUUCUCACCAAUCAUCACACCUAAUUUAGAAACUUGAUCGCUGCUGCUAGAACAAAAUUAAUGUGGUAGUGGUUGGUCCUUUGAUACGUCCCCCAAACUUAAAAACAUGGAAGUGAUUCUCAUGCACUCCAUGUUGUAAUCAAAGUAAUUUCGGGUGAGACAGCUAGACGUCUUCUAAAAAUGCCAAAACCACAACAUUUUGGAAAAUAAGUAUAUUUGCAGACUAAGUUAGAAUGUUUGCCUCCACAAUUUAUUUUUAGAACCUUAUCCCAUCUUUGGUAAUCAAGAAGCCUGCGAGUUAACCAUUUCCCAAUAAAAUCUUAUCCAUGGCUAUGGGCGAAAUUAAUUGCUGUAAUAUAAUUAACAAGCUUAUAAUUAACUGAAAUAGAUCUUAAAUUUUGAGCAUUUUUUUUAACUGUAAAUCCAAAAAGUUUACAAGUUAGAGAAGAGAAGAAUGGAAGUUGGGAAUUGGAAGAAAUAAUUGAUAGUAAGUUGAACAGAAAUAAUUGUUAGCCAUAAAAUGGGUGUAGUGUUAUUCAUAAAAUUUAAGGCCUUGUUCUCUUGAGUGGAUUUGAGAGAGAGUAAUUGAGUGGAUUUGAGAGGAUUUGAAGGUAAUUUUUUUUGUUGUUUAUUUGAGUGAAUUUGGAGGUAAACGAGUAUGAAUUUGGAAGUAAAUUUUUUUAAUCUACCAUAUAAAUUAAAUCUUACACUAAUUCUCACAAACUUUACUUCCAAAUCCAGUCUCUUUAACCUCCAAAUUCACUCAAAUAAACAGCAAAAAAAAUUACCUUCAAAUCCUCUCAAAUCCACUCAAUUACUCUCCCUCAAAUCCACUCAAGUGAACAAGGCCUAAGGAAAAAAGAGAGAGAGAGAGAGAGAGAGAGAUUGUAAGAGAAACAAAAGUGAUCCAUUGGGUUGUGAUGGAGAUAAGAGAGAAUGUUAUUAUCAUAGUAGUAGUAUGCUAAUGGGUGGAGAAGAAGAGAAUGGAAAGUAAGUGGCGGAAGAGGAAAGUAGUGUAGCCCAUAUAUAUAUAUAUAUAUAUAUAUAUGCAUAUAUAUAUAUAUAUAUAUAUGUUAUUACUGGAUUAACAUCCAUGCACGGUAACUGGAAUCACUACAUUCCCCUCACAACCCAUAUAAAUUAGGACAGGGCUGCCUCCUGCUUCAACAGGGUUAUGUACACCCACCUCAAGCUUUACAAUUAAAAUGACUGUUAUUAGUCAUUCAUGCCACCACAGUGGCAAUUGUAGCAUUUCUUGGGCUUCAAAAAAAAAAAAAAAAAACAACAACCGUGCGUGCUCCUUUUUGGACAAAAACACUAACAUCAUCAACUCAUUAAUGGAACCCUCCCCCUGCCGCGGUUGCAGCUUUUGCCAAAUCCGGCGGUGGAGAUGGCAGCAGGAGUAUGGAUAGAAUGCCACUGGCCGCAGCCGCCACCGCACCCACCACGAACGCCGGCAAGUUACCGCCGCCAAAUUGAUCAUCCCAUGGUCCACUGGUCACAGACACCACCAUCUAUACACAUACACGUGGACGUGCUGAGUUAGUAACAGUAAUAAUUGACAAGACAAUGGAGUAAUUAGAUGAGGAAGAUGAAAUGAAUUAAUUGUAACCUGUGGUAUGACGAUUGCAAGAUUGAGGACUCCCAGAGAUAACCCUGAAAUUUGAAUGCAACAGAAGGCGUUAAAGAUGGAGUAAUAUUAGGCAGACGUUGGUUAAAUAGGUGGAUUAUGAUUGUGGUCUUACCUUGUCCUGCCCCCGAGGUGGUGGAGAAUAUUGACGCCAGAGCAAAGGGUAUGCUGUAAGUAAUCUGAACACAUGCACAAACAAAAACUGUUAGGUUCUUUCUUUUUCUAGCUUCUUUGUUAUAAACCAACAUAAAGACAACUAAAGAAGUUUCAUUGCUCAAAGAGUGUCACGGGAAAGCUAGCUACACUGCGUUUGCAAGUUACAACGCAAUACCUAAAUGCAUUCAAUGCAAUCACGAUGACCUCAAAUAAAAAUACUAGUGCUUUUUAAACAGUCUACUGGUUUGUAAGCAAUAAAACCAACCGGCCAUCGCAAUCAAAAAAUACUUGAAAAGAAUUUGAGUAUUGUCUUUUGCAGAUCAAAGAAAGAAAAGAGCCAAGUAAAUAAUUUUUAUAUCGACCCCAGAAGCAAAGUUCUUGAAAAAAUUUCACAAGGCGGGCCCCAGGGUCUCCCACAAAAAAUAUUUGAAAAAAACUCCUCCAUGCAUGGCGAGAUUACAACCCCCUUCUAAAAUUUUAAAAAAAUAAACAAACAGAAGCAGGUAAAAAAAAAAGUGUUUUAACCCUUCCUCGUUAAUUUGCUGCAAUGGCAAACUACUUCUACUUUAUUCUCCCUGGCGUGAAUAAUUUUUACAACUUUUGAAAAAAAUUAUUUAAUUGAGUAAAGAAAAACGUGAGGAAGUGGAAGUUAGGUAAUGUGGUUUACCGCCAGAGGGAUUCCGAGGACGGCAAAGAGGGCCAACGCGCCGGCUUUGACGGCGGAGGAAGGAGGCAGGGGCUCGUGGAUGCCGCCGGGGAGGUCAGUGUACUGGCGAGAAUGCUGGGCCAUCUUGGUGACCAAAACGGUCAUGCCCAAACAGACAGCGAGAAGGAAGUUGACAAUUCCCCAGAGCCUCUUGACGCCCCCGACUCCACGCGCGAGGACAUCGACGCCCAAGGAAGUGGCUCCGAGGACCAGAGAGUUCAACAUGAGACCUAACGCACCGGCGCGAACGCCUCUAUCGUAGGCCUUUCCUUCUCCGACGGUUCCGCCGUAGACCUCAUGGCCCAUCCAGUCGGUGUCGAAGAGAAGGAAGGGGAACCACGCAAUCCAGUUGAGACACGUCACCAAAAGAAGAAUCCACAUGGGACGCUUCAGUUCCCGAAACGCACCGAAUAACUGCCCAAAACAGGGCAUGCCCCCGUGGGACCCAUCUUCUUCCGCAACGCUCACGGUGCUUUUUUCCGACGGCACCGUUUUCUCCUUCACGUAAGUGAGGGCGAUGGUGGACAGACUGAGGAGGAGCGCUAUGGAUAGGAAGAAGCAGCUUUUCAGAUUGGCGCAGUAGACGUCGCAGGCUUUAGUUUUGGUGAAGGGGAAGACGCGGUGGAGGCCGCUGUAGGACCCCGCGGCGUACCCCAGGACGUUGCCCACGGCCAUGAAGAAGGAGAAGAAGGCGUUUGCGUUGCGCGUCUUGCGGUGGUCGCCGGCGGAGAGGUCGGCGAGGAGGGCACGGCAGGGGCCCUGGAGCAUGUUGUUGGCCACGUCCAGGAUCCAGAAUCCGACGACGAAGAUGGCGAUGGCGCGUGGGCGGGUUUUCUUGGUGAGGGAGUCGCCGAACAUGUGGCCAAGGUCGGCGGCGUAGCCUAUGAGAAAGACGGCGAUGGCAACGGCCAGGGCUCCGGCGGCGAUGAAGGGGCGACGGCGGCCGAAGCGGGAAGUGCAGCGGUCGCUGUGGUAGCCGACAAUGGGCUGGACCAGCAUGCCGGAGAUUGGGCCGCAGAGCCAUAUGAAGGCGGCCCAAGUGUGGGGAAUUCCUAGCAACUGGACGUAGGGGGUGAGGAGGGAGAGCUGAAGGGCCCAGCCGAACUGCACCCCUGCGGCGAUGGAUGCCACAACCAUGAUCUUCCGGAGAGGACUGGGUUCCGGCGGCGGAGCCUCCAUGUGGAGGGAGGAAGGCUUGGAGAGAUUGUUGUGGUGUUUGGUGGCAGAGAGAGGGUCCAUGUUGGAAGAGAGUGUGUGUGUUGUUUAGUUUUGUGUUGUGUGGUUUGCGAGAGUGUUGAGGGGUUUUAUAAUUGAGGGAGAGGGGAGUUGCAUGUAAUAUAACGGAGAAUCUGCUGCCCUUGAAAUUCGAUAACUCUGUCACUGUUACUGUUUCUGGAUAUGGUAAUUAAUUACAACCCUGUUGCCUUAUCCGUUUGGUUAAAAGUAAAAACAUAACUCACCCUUCCUUGCCUUUUCUUUUAUCUUAUCUUAUCUUUUUUUUUUUCAAAAAUGUUAUAAUUAUUUUAUUUUUAUAUUAUAUGUUAAAUCAAUGUAAAAAUAUAUCUUUUCUAUCAUUAUAUUAUUAUUAUCAUUUUACUCGGUUUCACACUUACAUCACCAAAUCCAAAUAUCAUUUUUCUUAUGUCUUAUUUUUCUCGUAAUUUUUUUUUAGUUUUUUUUAGUUUAUUUUGAGGAGAACGUUAAUUUUUUUAUCAGUGAUGUACUCAAAUUUACAAAAUCCAAAUUAUUUACCAAUAAUUAAGAAACAAACGUUCUCAAAAAAAAAUUAUUUAAGACAUUUAUUUUUUAAUUUAAUAUUUAAAAGAUUAUUUUCUAUUUAGCAGUUAUUUUGAAGUUCAAGACAAUACUAAUUUAUCUUAUUUACAUUGUUUUAUCAUUCACUCGUCUUUAACUGUUGUUUGUUGCAUAUAUAUCUAUUGUGAUUUAGAAAUAAAAAGAUAAAUAAAAUCUUAACUAACCAAAAUAUAAUUUCUUCAAAAACAAAUUUAAACGGCACUAAAAGAAAUAGAGAUAAUAUUUUAUAAGGAAGUUAUACAUAUUUAAUAUAUAUUGAAUGCUAGUGGACAGAGAUAGCAAAGUCAACUCCACAUUAAAACACCGUAUAUAGUAAUAGUUUGUUGUAAUCCGUAUAAACAAAAAAUUGGUGGGUUUAUAGCUUGAAGAUAACAAAAUUAUGGUGUAAUUAAUAUAUGUGGUCCAGGAAUAACAUUUGAAAAAAUUAGGUGCGCGUAUAAUGAAUGCUUCAUAUCUAAGUUAAUUAGAACAAAACAUAAAUCAUGUAUCUCUGAACUGAAAGCCAAGUUAUUUAGUAUAAAAUAUUGCACACAUAUAUACAUAUAUAUUAAUAAUGCUACAAAUUCCAACAUGUAUAAACUAAGAUUUGAUACAGAAAACUAGACAGUAACGUUUCUACAAAUAUAAGUUGUGUUCCCACAUGAUUAUGUUUUAUGUUGGAUAGAAGUUGUAAAUCCUAGGAAAUUAUAUCUGUUUUAGAAUACUGAUACCUAUACAAAACUGAUCAGUUCCCUCUCUUCUCAAUCACACACGGAUGAAGAUGUUAGGAACUUUGGAUUACCAAGGUGGUAGAUAACCGAAUCAUGUAAUUCAUUGUAAGCAAUGAUUUCAUAAUCCAUUACACUAAUAAAUAAAGUUUAGAACGGUUUCAAAUCAAGUAACCGAUAACGGUUAAAGUGCAUGCGUCUUCAUUUUUUCUUUUAACUUUUCAUAAAAUAAAUCAGAUAAAGAAAAAAAAAGGGUUCCUCACUUUCUCAUAUUUUGUAGGAAAUCUAAAAAAGGAAUCAGAUUCGCAAAAGUAAAAGAAAAAAAAAAUGAAAUUUGAAAGCUUUGGUAUGGAAAGUUGAUCUUAAACCACCGACACCCUUUGACUGGUGGACCCAGCAACCGUUUACGAUGAAGAAACUGUGCCAAACACCACGACGACGACGACGUAUUAGUGCGAUGGCGUCAUCCUUCCUUCAAAAUAAGAGUUUCAUAUUUCAUACACUUUUUUUAAAAAAGAUAAUAUUCUCCGCGUAUUAUAUAUAACGAUAAUGAUUACACAGAGGAUAAAAAAGAAAGAAAAAUGAGAAUUGAGUUUAUGGUUAUAUUGAAUAUAAGUUCAUUUUGUCUACGUUUAGAUUCUUUGUUUUGGAAGGGGUUGUAUUAAACUACGCAAAUUUAAAAAGGAAAUUACGUAUCUAGACAAAAAAACAUUAAGGGUUAAAUAUGUUUCAAGCAAAUAAUGUUUAUCAGUUAAUACUGAAGCAAAAAUGUGUCAAAUAGUAUAAACAAUCUAAAUGUUAUAAUGAGACGUGUUUGAAACAAUAAAUAAAGUUAAAAAAAUUUGGUAUAAAGGACUAAAACUAGAGUUUUCUAAAGUUGAAGGACUAAAUUGUACUUUAGUUUGAAAAUGGACUAAAACCAAAAUCGCCCCAAAAUACAUGGACUAAAAACAUAUUUAACCCAAAAAUUAAUUAAGAUGAAACUCAAACAACUUCAAAUGAAGAAAUCGUGCCAUACACUAUGAUUUCACGUUGUUCAUUCAACAAGUAUUAAAGUCGUGCAUCCAAAAAUGAUUUCAUAUUUUUCUUUCAUUAAAAAUUAAUAAAAAUAUUGAACUUGUAAGGGGUUGACGACUUCAAUAAAAAAAGUCGUACAAAAAUAACACGACUUCUUCAUUUGAAAUCGUUUGGACUUCACGACUUUCUUUUGAUCAAAAGUUUGCCUAUUUAUGUAGUAUGAGAGAUAAAUUUAUCUAAUUUCGUAUAAAAACCUCAGAGAGGGUGAUAUUUUACUACAUUAACACGUACUUUGCUGAGAAUAAAUUGAAGAGAAGAAGAUUAUCAUGAUUUUGAAGAUAACGUUAGUAUGAAGAAAGAAGAAGAUGGAUUUGUACAGUGGAGGAAGAGUUUAUGAAAGCUUUUAUUGAAAUAUUGUAGAGUGUGCACAAUAAAUGUAUUUUAUCUUGUUGAAUGGUGAGAAUUAAUAACAAUAAGUAAGGGUCAUUGACUUGUUGCAGUGCAUUUAAUUUUGAUUGCAUGCACAAUGCACAUUGAAUUUGAGUUACCCCUUUGGUAACAUUAGCAUCAGAUAUCAGAGAAUGCAUUGGGAAUGGGACCUAAGUUUUAAUGUGUGCUCAUCCAUACCUGAGUGAGAAUAAUCCUGUCAAUUCGACACUGGUUUAUGAUUAAUUAGAUCUUACUUAUUUAAUAUUAAUUUUUAACUUUAAUUUAUUAAUUAAAUAGUUUAAGUUUGGAGGCAUCACAAAAUCUGCUAGGCAUGUCAGUUAGCCGGUUUCACUUUGCCUCGUCUCGCAUUCAUAUGUAAUAUUUUUAUAAAUUAAAAAUAUCUUAUUAUAAAUAAAAUAAAUAUUCAAGAUAAAAAAAUUAUGACUAAAGUAGUUGUUAUUAUUGAGUUUAUAGUUUAUGAGAAGUUAUAUUGAGUCUCUUAACUUACUAUUACACUCUUUAAAUUUUAUAUUAUAAGUUUAUUUAAAUUUGUUGUGAAAAAAAAAGCCAUGUAAUACACUAAAUUCAGCUUUCAAAAGAAGUUAAUUGUAAAAACAAAAAACAUUUAUCACAUAAUAACAUCUCACGUCGAAUAUAAUUUUUUUAUGACAACUUUGGAUUUAUUUAUAUAAAGUUCAGUUUAAUUUACUCUCAUCCCUACUCGUCUUUUCUUAAUAAUAUAUAUAUAUAUAUAUAGAGGUAAAGUGAAGAUAAAUGAAAAGCAAAAUAAAUAUUGUUCACCAAUAUUAGUAAAAGUAUUGGUGUGCACUUAGUGCAUUAACAAAUCAAAGAACAAGAAGAAAAUAACACAAUAUUAAUUGUAAACCACGUUAAUAAAUGACAUGAUUUAAUAAUCGACAAAAUAAAAUAAUUAUAGAUAAUAGUCUCAUUUAUUAAACAAAUAUCACACAAAGAUACUCUAUUUUAACGUUAGCCACAAUAAGUAUAACUACUUGUAUAUAAAAUUACAAAAACAAUUAAAUAUUAGUUAAAGAUAAAAAAAAAGGGCUACAACAAUAAUAGAAUAUUCAUAAUGAGGACUGCUCGAAGAUGAUAUACAACUGAAUCAUUAUAUAUUUUAAUUUGUACUAUGAAAUGCACCUACUAACAUAUACAUCUGUAUCUACCAAACUAAGACUACUGUGGAAUCUACAAUAAUAUUUACAAUUUAAAUAACCAAAAAAAUUUAAUAGAUAAAUUACAAUGAGACACUGUAUGAGUAAUGCUAUACAGAUUUCUGCUUCUGCUUAUACCAGUUGCUUUUAUGAUUUAUGUAAAAGGAGUUAUUAUAAAAUCAAAAUUUUUAUUCUGCAAGUUUUUUCUGUUAUUAUACUCACAUUUGCAAUGCAGAAUUUUUAUUUCUAUUUUUCACUCCUAAGUGUGACGAUUCUUCCCACUGGCCCAUCCACUAUGUAAUUCCUUUUCUACGUUCUUCUUCUCUUCUGUGGCUUCUUCCCUUUACACCACGUCUUCCACCACAACCAUCAUUGUCCUUUUCAUAUAUAUAUAUAUAUAUAAUAAUAUAUAAUAUUGUUAAUAAUAUAUCUCACUAUGUAUAUUUUCUAGUUAAUUUUGUUAUUAUUGAGAUGCUAGGGUGGUAGAUUUAGUUACACUCCAAUGUAAACUUUUGAGUUCAAAUAUUAAAAAAAUUAACAUCUUAUAUUUUAAUAUAAAAAAAUCAUCCUAAAUUCAUAUAAAAAGUUUACUCUUGUUUAUAAAAAUGGCACAGAUAAUUUAUUUACAGAAAUAUUGUCUAAAACUUAUUAGGUUAUGUGAUAGGAGAGAGAGACAAUCCUAAUAAUAUCCGGGUUUAAUUUAUAAAAGAUUAACAUUAAUUUCAAUAUAAAAUCUUAAAAUGAUUUGUUUACAAAUCUUUUAUCUCAAUGUUUAAAUUUUUUAUAUUUAUUUAUCAUAAGACUUUAAAUUAUUCUUGAAUUUUCAAUAAAAUUAAACAAUUUUUUUUCAUUGAUGAUAUAAAAACUAAUACCACUGAUUAAGGAAAUACCUGUCAUGAUCACAUUCGGGCAAACAAGAACAGCUCACGGUAGCACUAAGUGACAAGAGAAUAAGAGUUCUAGGAACUCAUGGUUUACACCCACUAUAGAAUGAAAUUCUCAAGAAUUAAUGGACUCGUUAAGCAGACAUGAAGUAGAUUACCCAAAACAUAUCAGACCUACAAAAUACUGAGUACAUUUAUGUAAGUAAAUCGAAUUCAUACGUUUACAUUCCCAUACACGUGAUUAAGAGAAACUGUCAGAAUUUGCGUCAGUUUAAUGAUUCUGACAGUACACAGAGUACUGCUUGUAUUCAAAAUAAUAUGUAUGAGUGACAAAUCUUUCUUUAGUUCAAUUCGUACAAAGUUAUAGACAACAAAGUUCUCACUGAAUGGAUAUUAUAUUGCGAGGGAAUUAUGUAUGACAUGUGGUGGUGGCAUUAUGAAAUGAGAAUUUGAACAAUGAUGAAGCUGAUGAUUGCGAGAAGAAUAUAUGGUUACAAGAGAAGGGAGAAUGGGGUGGAGGGAAACAACCAUGAUUAGGUUUAAGGAAGCUGGUGAGUGUCGCAAACAUUAUGAUAUUGAUGUUGGAAUUAGUGGUGUCAUAUUCCACCAAGCAGCCUUUAUUUUAUAUUUCCUCUUGGCAUUUUCACGUUAACAACACUUAGCAUACAAGUGAAAAAGAUGUCAGUCUUUUCGAAUUAAAAUAAGGAAACUCAAUACAAACUACAGCAUGUUUGGUUAACGUUUUUGUUUUCACCGUACGUAAACUGAAACAUCACCCUUCUCGAUGCAUGACACAUGCACCAUUCCUUUGUUGAGACACAGUACUAAAUUAACUUUGGUUAUGAUUUUAAAAAGAAAAGUUUCUUAGAUUGGAUAUUUUGGUACAGUAAUUAUAGUGUUGAUUUUGUGAUGUGCACUAUAUGAAGCUGAGAAAGAGCCAAAUGGCAAGAACUGGAAGAUACAGGAGUUGAAACGAAACAUAACCUAACUGUUAAUGGGGACCAGCUAGCUUGGGAAGCCAUGAGAGGUCGAUAUUAGAGAGAUACAAGGGUAGUGCUUGUGACCCAUUGUGAAAGGACGUGCCUUUUCUAGUUGAUCUAAUUAUUCAGAAUUGGCAUGUGUGUUGACUAGAGAAAACCCUUGUCUGAAGUGGGACAAAGUGCAACGCAAACACAAAUCUGAUUCUCUAUUUCUCUUUCACUCCAUAGUGUUAACUAUUUUUUAACAUGUUGUAAUUAAUUCACUACUGGAACUAUUCAGAAGAAAAACAAAGAAGCAUCCAUUCUGACAGUGAGGAAUACACAGAUAGGACAAAUGAAGUUAAUUUAAGUAAACCCAUAAUUCAAAAAAAGAAUUAAGAAAGUGGAAGAAGAAUAUGUAUGUUAAAUAAACUACCGCAGAAUCCAGCGCUUUAUGCGAAAUGAUAAGGUUUUAGGCAUGUUAGUGGAAAUACCAAAAGUGAAAUGACAUAAAAAUAUUAAAGACAAUAGAUCCCGGGAGAGAAGAACUUAAUUCACAUUCUUUCAGGCUUUUAAUGUUCUCCAUUCCACAUCCGUUUCAUUGUUCUACCUAUUCCAGUACACAAUUUUUCACUUCUUCUAAAAAUCUUUCUUUCUCUUUUCUUCACUGUUUUCACCUUUCUAUCUGCAUGCAUUCAUCAUGCCAAACCAUUAUAUUCGCAUUAGAAUUCAAGCCACAGAUAUAUUUAAAAAAACUUUGUGCCACUCUUUUGUAUCCAUACAAUGUAGAUAUGUUCUUUGCCAUAUAAUUAAAUAUAAAUAUAUAUCCUCUAUAUAUUGCUGCCACACCUCUCGAUUCCCAUUAAAAUUUAUAGAAUAUUUUUUCGUGGUCACACCAUCGUCUAUUUCUUAGGUUUCUGUUUCAUUACAAUGUGCAGAAUGACUCAAAAGGAUGAAAUAGAUUAGAGAGGGAAAUAUCUAUAAAUUCACAAUCUUUUCAGUACUCAAUUAAUGUUCUAUUUGACCUUUUCUGUCUGUACCUCUGCCAUUGCAAUUACUUGUAUCCUUUUAAGUGCAUAUCUUGAUCUGACUUUUCAUCUCAUACAGGCAUUUAUAGUAUCUAAUUCGAAGCUAAAAGAGAAAACAGAUAUUUAUUCUGACAGUAUAAUUUUUGAUGAAGUUACCCUUUUGUUGGGUCAUGAUUGGUGGUAAUCAAGUGAUCCUAAAUAGUAGCAAUUGCAGCAUUUGAAGUAAACUAUAGGAACCUACUGUUACCUUAACCUGUUAUUAUGCAUGUGUCUUCCUUUUCAAAGUUGUAUUUUUUAUAAUAAUGAUAACCAUCUACAUAUGGCUUAACAAGGUAUUGUCAAUAUUCUUUUGAGAUAGAAGAAUAUGGGUACAUUGUUGUUAAAAACAAAUAAUGCAGUGUGGACAAAUAAGCAAAGACUUUAGCCGUAUCCGUCACGGGUGUUUUUACCUUCGAAUUCCAUGUUGAAACAGCAACCUCGAGCCACGAGAACAAAUCUCAGGUCCACAGUGCAAAUUCUAGAGAGCUUGAUUCUCUGCCUGCAAUGCUUUUCCAUUUACCAACUUACGCACUUACAAUUAUGCCCACCUUCACUUUUUCUUCCUCAUCAUUCUCUUUCAAUCUGCCACAAUUCUAAGCUGCUAUACACACUUGCUUAAUUAGCUUUGCUUCUUCUAUACCUAAGGUUAAUAUACCCACUUUAACUCUUCCUGUUAAGUUUCUAAUUCAUCAGUUUUUAAAAUGAGAUUAGUAAUUUAGUUAUAUAGUAUAAAUUUUGUGUUAUUUUUCUUUGACAUAAAUUUUCAAAUCUUGAAUAUAUAUAUAAUAAAGUUUAGAGUCAAAUAUUCAUAAAUAAUUCAAUAACAAUAUAAUAAUAAUAAAUUUAACAAAUAACAAAUAUUGUGAAAAUAAAUUUUAAAUAAGUUUUAUACUGUCAUAAAAAUAAAAAUUUUAAAUUAAACUCAGUUUUACUAAUUUAUAAAAUAAAAUUUGUUUUUAGUUAUAUAUUAAAAACUUAUAUAAAUUUACUUUUAUUUUUAAUCAAUAUGAAAUCUCUUAUAUUAGAUGUCUAGUAUUAAAAAUCUUAGUGAAUGUGAGUCUCAUAAUAAACAAAAAUAAAAAUAUUCAGUCACAUAUAAAUAUAUUGUUUUAAAAAAUUUAGGAAUAAAGACUAUGGGAAUUCUUUUUCUUAAUUUAGCUCAAGUAAAUUAUACUUUGUAUCUCCAAAAAUCAUAAAAAAAAAAUUAAAGUAAGAUUUUCCAAACAUGAUUUUUGUUUCAUUAGUUCAUGUAUUUCUGUUGAAAAAAUAUACCCAGAGGAAAAAAAAAAACUUUAAUUUUUUCAAUUUUUCCAAUCAUAUUCUCUGAACGGGACCAAUGGUAAUAAUUAGAGUAAUGGACCAAACACCCUAGCAAGCAAAAUAAAUACGACAUGUCUUUUGGCCUCUUUUUUUUGGCAGGAUUGACUUUCCUUCCUUAAAUUCUGUCACUUUAUUAAAUAUUCAAACUAUAAUAGUAAUUAAUCAUCCAUUUGAAAUGAGUAUAGGUACAUUGGAAUCUAACAACUUUUCCCUAAACUAAAGUUUGCUGCUUAUGAAGUUAAUUUAUAACACUUAUUCAUAUUUUUGUAAUCCCUGACUUGCAUGGUGGCCAUAUAAUAAAAAAUUGUAAUCAUUCUCUAAUAUUAUAAUGUGAAUCAUAUUAUAAAAUAAAAAAUACAAAUAUAAAUAAGAUUAUACAUUAGUCAUAAAAAAAAAUGGUGUGCUUGUGUAUCCGAGAAGGUCAGGGUGACCGAACAUGGAGUCCUUUUCAGUUUUUUGACAGAGAAUACAUGAAUGAAGUAAGGCAUAUGUGCCCUAGUCAGGUUUUGGAUAACGACAAAUAAGAGUGACCCACUUCUGCAAUAUCAACAAUAACUCCAACUUGUUGCCAGAAUACGACUCCUAUGCAUAAUUCGCUUAAAACAAAAUAAUUAAGAUGCCUCCUCAUAAUUUUAAAUAAUCUAUAAUAUUCUUUCUCUUAUUACCAUUCACAAAUAAUAUAUAUUUUCUUCCAUAAUGGGCAUUACUUUUUAACAUCAAUUAGUAAACUCAAUCAUUCAUUAAAAUAUGGAUACAUAUAUAUAAAUUUGAAAUGUCUUCAAAUAUUUAAUCUUUAUAAAUAAUUCAAAUUACUUUUAUUUAUUUAUUUAUUUUAGAGAUGUCACAUUCAUUAAAAGGAAACUUUUUUCUAUAUGCAAGAAUUUUAAAAUUAGACCAUUGAACUAAAAUGAACAGCAGUUAUAACCAGUCGUUAAUUUCUAUUUUGAAACACAUCAAGCAAUGGAAUAGGUGAUUCUGGGUCAUCACCAUAUAAGAAAUCUCACUGAGUCAAUAUUAUUCCUUUUGAGCUUUUUACAAGUUUUGUGUAAUAAAUGAUAAGUUAGGAAAAUGUGCAUGAAAUUUGGUGGGAAUUUAAGCUUUGUUUUUAGGGUGAGUAAUUAAAUAGAAAAGGUUGUAACUGGUGAAGGUGUUAGGAUUGGAAAGGGACUCCAUAUCUCACACAUCAAAGCUUCAGAAGAACUGUGUAUAUUGGAAAGGAAGAAUAGGAAAUGUGUUUCAUUUCUUGUCGGGAUUUAACAACGACACCACCAAAUGACCAAAUUCCAUAACCUAAAAACGUGUCAUUUUGUAACCUAAUCAAUCAGGAAAAUCAAUUUGGAAUAUAGAAUUUAGUUAUAUUUGUUUAAUUUCAUAAUUAAUAGUUGUUGUUGAUUAUUUAGGAUCUUUUUAUUUUUGACAAUAAUUACUAGUAUAUUUCUAAGGUACGUACCGCCUAUGUUGUGCUAGAUACUAUAUGUUAGAUCUUGAUGUACCUGUAAUUAGUAAUUUUGAAAUGGCAUAAUACCUCUCUUGGUCCUCGUAUUUGUGUGAAAAUCUCAGUUCGGUCCUCAAGUUUUGAACUAUCUCAAUUGGGUCAUAAUUUUUGUAAAAAUGCACACAUUUUACCCCAAUCGUUAACUGAUCUAAAACGACGUUAAGUUUAGCUGACGUGGUAGCCAGAGGACAUGCUGACGUGUAUUAUUUAAUUAUAUGAAUUAUUUUUUAAAAUAAGCAGUGUUUCACGUGGCANAAUGCCUAUUAUUUAGUUUAUUUGAAUUAGGGAUUUUAUUCAUCUNUCUGAGAAUCAGGGAUUUUNNNUAACUGAUCUAAAACGACGUUAAGUUUAGCUGACGUGGUAGCCAGAGGAAAUGCUGACGUGUAUUAUUUAAUUAUAUGAAUUAUUUUUUAAAAUAAGCAGUGUUUCACGUGGCAGAAUGCCUAUUAUUUAGUUUAUUUGAAUUAGGGAUUUUAUUCAUCUAUCUGAGAAUCAGGGAUUUUAUACAGAUUAUCUCGUCGGCUCAAAAAAUAAAGUCACCGGAAAACUCGCGUAACCAGUGCAAUCAGUCUCACAACCUUUUCUGCAAAUGAACCAACUUGGUAACCUAUAGGUUCAUCACCAGCCUUUAAGCUAUUUAUUCCACUGAUAGUAGAAGAUAAUUGUUGCACAGUGAGAUCAGUUAGCGAUUAGGGUAAAAUGUGUGCAUUUUUACAAAAAUUAUGACUCAAUUGAGACAGUUCAAAACUUGAGGACCGCACUGAUAUUUUCACACAAAUACGAGGACCAAGAAGAGAUUAAGCCAACACGUCACCAUACCACGUCAGCUUUUGAGAUCAGUUAACGGUUGAGGUAAAAUGUGUGCAUUUUUACAAAAAUUAUGACUCAAUUGAGACAGUUCAAAACUUGAAGACCGAAAUGAGAUUUUUACACAAAUACGAGGACCAACGGAGAUAUUAAGCCUUUUGAAAUCAAUAAAAACUGUAAAUAUAAAUAGGAAAGAUAAUGUACAUUUGCUUAGUUGUUGUAUAUUAAAAACUAGGAGAUAGAUAAAAUGAUUUAAUUCUAAUAAACACUAUUUUGUGUUUAUUUUUAUGAAGAAUGUUUGAUUUUUAAGAUAAAAUAAUUGAAAAAAAUAAAUGUUGGAAUUAAAAUUAAAAAUAAUUGCAGAAAAUACGUGCUGGAAUUAAAAUUAAUUAAAAUCGACUUAAAUGUAUUUCAACAAAGAAUGUUUUAAUGUAAAUCUAAAUAAAAGUAUAGAACAGGGAUCAUAAACAAUACAUAAUAAUUCAGAAUUAAAGUGAAACAUGAUAAAUAUAUAAGCAAAUGAGGAGAUUAUUAACUCAAACAUGUAUAUACUCUCUUCAGUUAUAUAUUUUUCCUAUUAUUUAUAUAUGGAAGUUACUUUUUUUUUGUGAACUCUGUUGCUUGUAUUCUAUGUACUUAUAUUCAUUUAGACUUCAUCAUUUUAUAGUGAUUCUUUUAAUCUGUUUUGUAAAUUGAAAUUUACUUUGUAGAAUGUGUCUAAUCUUAUUCAUUUAGACUAAAAAAAUGGUUGUUGCAACUCGAAGUCUUUAGAAUUUUCUAUGCCUUAAAUUUAUUUGACCUAAUGAAUAAGGUUUUUAAUAAGGAAUACAAAUUCAACUAAUUUAAAAAAUUGGAUUUAAAUGAAUUAAUAAAACUUCAAUCAAAAUCAAAGUGGAAAUAAAUUAGUACACAUUCUAGGAAUUGAUAGAUUAUCACUAUGCUAUUUAUUUGAAGCAUUCACCAAACCGUGAAUUAAUAAUUUUUUCAGAAAAUUUGGUUUAUUAUCUUUGACAAAUUCAUCUUUCUUAAGUAAUAACAUAUUUUUUUCAUCUUAAAAAUUUGAAUGUAAAACAUUACUUUAAAAACUAAACUUAAAUUCACUUAAAGCUUUGUCACUCAAUUGAGAAUUAGUUUUUGUUACUUUUUAAAAUAAUUAUUAUAAAAAUCGAUAAUUUUAUAAAUAAAUGACGAUUGAUAAUUAGAUUUAGGGUUUAAAGUUGAUUUUACAGUAUAUUCGUUUAGAAGCAUUCCAUUAUAAUAUGCAGAGGGUUAAUUUGCUGUGACAUGUUUGGAAUAGAAGAGGUGCAUGCACACACGUCAAGAUAAUAAUAAAAAGUUAAUAACUUUAACAAUAUGAUUCUCACAUAUCCUUUAUACGAGACAACAAAAUCUCAAUCCUACUAGAAAUGAUACUAACACAAUAAUGUAAAAUUAUUAUAUGUAUAUUUAACUUCAAAUCAGAAGUUUUACAUUUAAGAAUUAAUAUAUACAAGUACUAAUUAUUCGCUAAGCACUUCCAUAACUACAGCUUGAUGUUCUAGAAGAAAUUGACCUGCAAAAUCAGACAAGAAUGAAGUCACAUUUGCACUGAGAAGUUAUGAGAAAUCGUAAUUAAGAUGGAAGUUUCGUGGGACCAAAAGAUACACAUUUUUGUUCCCUAGAAAAGUGUGGAAAAAAAAAAGAAAAAUCAAAACGUUGGUUUGAAAUUGAUGGCUCCUACAUAAACUUUUGAGUAGGCUCACACGUGGCGCGAGUGCCGACAUCAAAAAAGCCUCAAAUAGAAGCUUGAGUAUGUUCAUGAAUAUGAAUUGUGGUGACUGGAUUACUCACGUGUUACAAAAUCACUGGUUUUAAUAAUUGCUAUAUAUUAACAUAAAUAACAGUUAUUAUUUAACUAUAUAAAGGAGGUUGGUGGGUGCAAUUAGGCACUAUAAAAAUUAAUUUGAAUAUUGUUUGAAUUAGUUAACUAUAUUUAUUUAUUUGUUAAAUCUUUUAUUAACAAAAAUCAGUUGGUCAAACAUGUUUGCCACUGGAGUGAAUUUAUUUUAUUUUCUGGGUGGGAAUAGAUAAAGUUUUGGCCGGUUGAAAACAUGAUACCUUACUGAAUUAAGUUACAUGGAUUUUUUUUUUGGUAGUUGAAAACAAAAAGUAUAUAAAUUGAUCACAACAUUUAAUUUUUUUAAUGUAAGCUGGAAAAUGUGACGAAAUUGAAAAAAAAAAAAAAAAGUUUGAUACCUACCUAAGGAAAGAGACCUAAACCAACGAAUUUUUUUUACAAAAAAAUAAUUAAAAAUUGUUACGAUAAAAGCUCAAAUCACUGAAAAUUAGAAACGUUGAAAAGUUUUCAAACAAAUGUAUUUUAAAGAAACGAAAGUAAAAUAUUCAACGCAUUAAACUUUUUAAAAUAUUAUGUAUUUAUAAGAUUUUAUCUAACUAAUAAUCAGAAUAUACUUGAAUAUAAGUAAGAAAAAUUUAUUCGUGAAGUUAAUAUAUAUAUAUAUAUAUAUAUAUAUAUAUAUAUAUAUAUAUAUAUAUAUAUAUAUAUAUAUAUAUAUAUAUAUUAAUACGAUUACAUUUAUGUUUGUGUUUGGAAGAAUAUUCAUACAUAUAUUUACUUAAUAUUGAAAUGUUUUAUGCUUUAAGCAUAAUUUUUAAGUUUAAACCUCUUUUUGGUCCUUAAGUUAUGAGCGGAUGUUCAGUUUAGUUCUCGCUUUUAAAAUGUAAACCUUUGAUUCCUAAGUUAUAAAAUGUAUCAAAUAAGUCCUUUUUUGACUUGAAAUACUGUUUUUGGUUAUUUUUUAACAACUGCUACAUCUUUAUAUUGCUCUGAUUUAUUGUUCUGAUUUGUUUCUUAAUAAUAACAGUACUAAUUUAUUGCUCUGAUUUGUUUCUUAAUAAUAACAGUACUUUAGAUUACUCUUUGUACUUUGACCAUGAACAUAAAAAAAUGACUUAUUUAAUACAUUUUUUAUAACUUAGGGACCAAAGAUUUACAUUUUUAAAAACGGAAACUAAACUGAACAUCCACUUAUAACUUAGGGACCAAAAAGAAGUUUAAACCUGAUUUUUAUAUUAAAUUACUCUACUAAAGUUAACAUUAUAAGAAAUUGAUGAAUUUACUUAAAAUAAGGAAAUUAUUAAUUCUAGAAUAUGUUCACCUCUCCAUUUAAAUCUAUUUAGCCUCGCGUGUAUCCGGAAGAUAAAUCAUGGAACAAAUCGUAAAAGUAAUUUAUCUAUUUGAACUCUGAUGUUGGGCUACAAACAGGAAAAUAAAAGUAAAGAAAAUAUGAGGAUAAAUUUUUCAUUUGAUUUAAAUUUUACAUGUAAUAUUUUAUUAUAUGUUGCAAUAAAAUAAAAAAAUAGAUUUUAGAGAUCGCAUAUGUCUACGUUACAGGCAAGAAAGGACGUGUGUCCUUAAAUGAAUGUUUUUUACUGGAAUUUGAAAAUAUUAUUAACUUAAAAUUUUUUAUAUAAAUAUUAUCAUCUAAUUUUACUUUAUUAUCUAUCAUAUAAUGUGACAUUUAUUUUAAAUAUAUUAUUUUCAUAAACUCAAUAUUAAAAUAAAGUUAUGAGAUUUUAAUAAUACAUUAACAACUUACAUGCAUAAUCUUAAGUAAUAUGUGACAUUUUUUAGGAAAUAUUAUUUUCAUCAACUUAAUAUUAAAAUUAAAUUAUGAGAUUUUAUUAAUACUUUAAGAACUUACAUGUAUAAUCGUAAGUAAUAUAUACACCGGCCAAUUAUUAUGUUUUAGAUAUGUAGAAAAAAAAAUCAUUGUUCAUGAAGACAAUUCCUAAAAGUUAGAAAUAUAUAAAUAUUAUAACUUGUUUCCUUGUAAUUUAGAAACAGAUUUUAGUUUUUAUGUAGUUUAAAUAAUAUAAUUACAUUUUUUUCAUGUUAUUAAGUAUAAUGCCUUAACAAGAUUGGUUUUACUUUUAUAGAUAAGCAGUCUGUCUCUCUUUAUAUAUAUAUAUAUAUAUAUAUAUAUAUAUAUAUAUGUCAAUGUAAAAAUUUGUUCAUUUAAUUUAUUAUCUUAACUAAUAUAAUUAUUGUUAUAUAUUUUAAAUUUUGAAAAUUAUUAUUUAACUGAGGUACGUUCUACUUGCAAUUUCUGUUACGAAUAGAAAUCUAUACAUACAAGGAAAAUAAAUUGUAAAAAGGUUUACUUUCAACUUCACCUCUUUUAACAUUGAUUUUGAGAUGAAUAUCGAAUACCUCCACGAAUCAUCACUAAAAGUGCUACUGUAGCUGCGUGAAUUUAUGACUUUCCUAAUUUAGAUUUGGACAAAUUAAGUACAGCUAAUCGAAUAAUACAUUUUAAUUUUUGAUCAGUUUAACUUGAAAAAUAUACUUCAAUAAUAUAUUUUAUUUAAUUAUUAAAUUAAAGAAACAUAACAACUAUUUUUAAUACUUAGGUAGAAAAAACAAUUCUUGUUCUAUUUUUAUUCCAAACUAAAAAUGAAAAUGAAAAACGGCUGGAGUGUUAAUUGAUUUUUUUAAUUAUUUAUAUGAAAUUUAGUUAAUUUUGUGCAAUAUAAAUAUAUAAUUUAUGAAUCCGAUUCCUAUGUGUUGGAAAACAAAAUGGUAUUGCUAAGCCACUUUUUGUAUGGAUUCGAGAAAGACGUGAUAGGGAAGAAUAUCUUCUUCCUACAGAAGCAUAGGUAUAUAUAUAUAAGAAUCCAGUUUUAAAAAGGUUGAGGCAAUUAUCAACUUAUAUAUUCCUUCUCAAUUUGAAUUAAAUCACUCUAAUGUGAUGCUACAAUUGUGUGUUUCUAAACUCUGCACAUAUCCUUAUCAGAUAGAAUUUACCAAACAAAGAAACAGCUGAGCAAUCGAACAACCAGAAGAUGUAUGUUAUACGAUGAAUUUGAAAUUGAAAUUUUGUUCUCCGUAAGUAGGUUCAUACGCGUUUAAUUAGUUAUACCCUCCUUACCAAAAUUUUUAUUUUGUCAAGGUUUAAAUAAAGCAUUUAGGUAUGAGACAGAGUGAAUAAUGAGGUACAUAUGAAUGAGGAAUCAUGUGUAUACGUAGGUAUGUGUGUGGUGAAUGGCACAUAAUUAAAAAGUUGUUAGUUACGUGUGAUUAAGGUUUAUCUGGAAGGGUCUUGGAAAGUUAAUUAAUGUCUGCUGUUGAUGACAGUUAUACCUUGUUUUCAAGGUGAUUCCUCCCAAACAAUUCAUAAUGAAAAUUGAUGUGGAGAAUGAGAAGCUCAUCACCACCAUCUUUUGAUAAUGGUCGGUGGAAAGGGGAUAAGAGAUUAAUCUCACAGUUUUCUGAGUUUUGGUCAUUAGGCAGACUUUAAUAGAAGAAGAAGAAAACUCAGAAUGUAUACCAACAUAUGGUCCUACAAUGCUAUACGUACUUUACUUUAAUCUAUGAAUGAAGAAAUUAAUACUACAUAGAUACGUGGAAGAUGAAGUCAAUAAAUACUUUUUUGUCAACGGGUCAAUUAAUUAUGAGGAAUCGAAGACUGUGUCGGAGAUAACGUAGUUUAUUGCACUAUCAUCACACAACAUUCAUUGUAAGAACAGUGCUUUACGUAAUUUCGCCUUGGUAUGAUAAACUUAUCCUUUUGCUUUGAAUGUUUGGUUCUUGAAAAGUACGAUGGAUAAUUAAUUGGAGUUAACCUAUUGUCGGUAAAUUUCAUAUCUAAUUCCAAACCUUCUAUAUGCAUAUAAUUAAAGUAUGUUAGUGACGAAAGCCCCAGAAAAAUAAUAUUAUCUUGCAAGAAAGCGUAUAAAUGCACGUUUAUUAUGGUUAGUACUCCCGUGUGAAGUUAAGUUUAGAAAGAUUAAGCAUGAGGGAAUCGCGUCUCUUGGAAAAGGUUAGAUACACAUAUAGAAUUCCACACAUGGUAAGAUAUUGUUCGUUUUGGACUAAAUCUUCACGGGUUUUCUUUUGGUAUUAAUUCAAAAGGCCUCUUAUUAUUGAAGAUAUCUAUAUAUAUAUAUAUAUAUAUAUAUAUAUAUAUAUAUAUAUAUAUAUAUAUAAACCCUUAACCAGUCCUUAUUUUACUCAAUGUGAAAUUUUGACUACGUAAAUCAAUUAAGGUAAAAUUGUUUCAACUCAAUCAAGAUCAGGAUGUUGUUGGUUUGAAUAUGUUUUUUUAGCUAAUAUAUUGUAAUGAUGUUUUAUAUUAAUCGUGUAAAAAAUAUUUUAUACACGUUUUUUCAAGAUAAUGAAUCCAUCAUUAAACAUGUACCGUGUUACAUCAUUUUUUAUUCUCAGAUUUUGAUAUAGUUUGAAGCUUAAGGAAAUUAUUAAAACAAGUAAUAUUUCCUUUUUAUUUGAGAUAUUAAUUAGGUAUAGGUAUUUUUUUAGUGUUUUCUAAUAUCUUCAACUAUAAAAAAAAUUGAAUUUACGUAAUGAAUAGAAUAUAAUUAAAAAAAGAAUUGAUUAAAAUUGGAUUUGAUCAAUAGAUUUUUGAGCUCAUUCUAAUCUUAUCACUAAAUUGUUUUUAUUGAUACAUAAAUGUACUCACAAAUUCAAAUAUUUCAUCGAAACAUUGAUAAAAUCGAAUAAUUGAUAAAAUAGAUUUGAACCUUUAACACUUCUUCUAUAGGUACUUUGUAAUUGAGUUUAAGUUUAACCCACCGUAUACAUAAACUUAAUUAUAUUAUAUUAGUAGAAUUUUGUCUUUAAAUGAAAUUUUACAUAAACAAAAUCAGCAUCCCAAGCCUUGAGCUCAUCUUUUCAUCAACAAUAUUGGCCUCAACAAGAAUCUUCCCAGUUAGGAAGAGGAAUUUCGGCACAAUCAUUAUAAAAUAAUAAUGAAAAUAAUAAAAUUAUUAUUAUAAUUAUAAGAAUAAAUUUAAAUAUUUUUUAUAAUUUUAUUGUAUAUAAUUUUUUAUUAUAAAUAGUUAUUUUAAUUUGAAAGAAUAAUUAAAAUUUUAGAGUAAAAUAAAAAACAGUUAAAUUUUAAAAAAAUAACUUAAAUAAUUAUUUUAAUUUAAAAAAUACUAAAACACAAAUUAAAACAAUGUAUAUGUUAAAAUCUAUUUGUGUGUAUACAUUUAAAGUUUCAUCUCAAUAUAUCUAGCCGAAAGACAAAAUAUGUUUGUGAGCUUUGCUCAUCUAUAAACAAAAAUGUUUAAAAUUAAUAAUAAUAUAUCAUAAAAACUUAUAACUUCGAAAAUAAACUACUAAUUGAACUUACCAUUUUAUUUUGAAUGUAAAUAAGAUGGAGCAAUAAUUCCCACAUUAGAUAAGAUUAUUAUUUUUUUUGCCUUUUUUACUUCUUCUAUUUUUUUUUUUCUAAAAGAAAACAUAUAUUCUUGAAACAAUUUAUGGGUGUAAAAUUUUUUUUUGUUAGAUUUCUUGAAGUUUCUUUAAGUUUUUUUUUGUGGGAAAAGUAAUACAUAUAAGUAUUUUCUUUCAUGAGAUAUACAUGAAUAAAGUUCAACUAAUAACAUAAACAAACUUUUCACGAAGGAUUUAUAACUAAACUAAAUUAAUAAAAACAUAUACAAUAAUCUUUAAUAACAUAACUAAAUAAUAUCUCAUAUUAAUUAAUCAAUUUUGAAACAACCAAACAAUAUAGUAAACAAAACUCAAUGAAAUAACACGGUGAAACUUAAAAACUGUUUUAUUAAUUUUGAAUAAAAUAUGAUAAAUAUAUAACAAUAUAUAAUUCUGCUAUUUUAUCCCUAUAAAUAUUCUAUAAUAAUAUAAUGUUAUUACUGUAAUUAUUUCAUAAUAAUGUAAUAUUAUUACUACAAAUCAGUUAUAAUAAUAACAAUAUAUUCUCUCAAUAAUAUCGAGAUAUGAUUUAUUUUCUAACAAUCCCCCUCAAGCUGAAGCAUACAGAUUGUAUGGACGAAACUUGGAAUACAUAAACUCAAUUUGAAAUAUAUAAUCUGUCUUCAAGAGUGUGCGGCAAGCAAAUGCGCAAUCACAUGUCGACGAAUAACUAACAACGAUUUAUGGACAGUGGUGGACAACUAUGAAACUUCAAUUAGCACCAUGAAACUUCAAGUAGGAUGACUUUGACAAAAGAGGACAAUGACAACUUCUAGGGACUGGAUUGCCAUCAAGUAAGGAUGGGGCUUGCAUCAAAACUAUAGGAAUUGUCAUCACUGACUAAUGGGGCCUAUAGUGGCUAAAAGCGACAAAACUACAGGGAAUGUCAUCACUGACUGAUGGGGUCUGUAGUGGCUAAAAGCAACAAAACUACAGGGAAUGUCAUCACUGACUGAUGGGGCCUGUAGUGGCUAGAAUCGAAAAAAACUGCAAGGACUGCCAUCAUUGACUAGUGGAGUCUAAAAGCCUGAAACCUACCUGGAAACAUACUCGCCCUCACGACAAACGACGAAAAUGAUGGCAUGCCGAUGACAGACCGUGAAAGUGGAAGAUCAUAACGAACUCUUAUUCAUCAAAGCAUCCAAAAAAAACAUAUGACAAAUUUGACAAAGGGCUUAUGAAAUUGUUUUAACCCAUAACUUUGGUGUUGAAAUUCCUUAGUGUUAACCACUGACUGUCCUUGGAGACCUUUCAAAAUAGAGAAGAAGAUAGUGGAAGCAAUAGAGGUAGAACAAGGUGCUGGUGCAUCGGUGGCACAAGUGGCAGAGACGAUGGCUGCGAAAGAUGUCGGCGACGGUGGCCGGACGACAACACCGGACAGAUGUGAGACAGGAACCAGAGAUUGCCCAUUGAAAUAUAAAGGCACAGGUUGAAAAAGAGACUUUUAGGGAUAAAAAAAGUAGAAAAGGAUAAAAAAACCUGAUACCAUGUAAAGAAAGAAAAUAGUGAAAAAAACUGUCUUAUUAAUUUUGAAUUAAAUAUGAGAAAAAUAUGGAAAAUGAUAUUUUAACAUCAAUUUUUGACACCAUUUUGACACUGCACACGUGUCAAAAUGUGGUUGGAUGAAUUCAAAUUAAAAAAAGUUGAGGCAAGGACAUAUUUGGAAGAGAAAAACCAAAAUUUCUUUUUUAAUUUGAAUUCGUCCAACCACAAUUUGACAUGUGUGCAGUGUCAAAAUGGUGUAAAAAAAUUGGUGUUAAAAUAUCAUAUUUCCAAGAAUAUAUACAAGAGAGAAUUUGUAAUUGUACUAUUUUAUCCUUAUAAAUAUUUUAUAAUAAUGUUACAUUAUUAUUGUAAUUAUUCAAUAAUAAUGUAACAUUAUUACUAUAGUGGGAUAUGAUUUAUUUUCUAACAUAUAUUACAACAAUGGUGGAUUAUUUCUCGAUAUAGAGUGCAUUCAAAUAGAUCUGAAAAGUCUGAGGCAUUGCAAAUUGAAUUAUAUACGUUGAAGUGCUCUUACAGAAAUUGCAUGUGAAAAGUAUGGUGGAAAUAUAUAACAGAUAGGUGACAUUGAGGUACGGAUGGAAUAAUAAAAUGAUCUUAGAGAGGAUGAGAGAGACGUGGAUGAUCUGCAAAUUGCAAGGAAAUAUGCAUAUAGAUGCCAUUACAGAUCUGAUGCGAUCAAGUUGUGAAAUUGAGAAGGCAGGAGAAGGUGGUGCACGUAGUUUCCACGUUGACAUGACAUUAAUAUUGGUACAAUACUUGUAUAUACUGCAUGUGUAUCGUGGAGAUGAAAUGGUAGCAUAUAUCUGAUAUUGUGACAGAACAUUUAUACAUAGGGCCUUCAUGUGUGGUAUACGUGGUAGACAAUUAAGAAUCUGUCUUACGUUGACAAGUGAUUAAGAGCAGAGGAGAGAAUGGGUUUGUGGGGUUUAUUUUGUUUGUUUGGUAUCAGGUUCUGAGUCAGUAGUGGUCACAGCGCACUGUUGUUAACCUAUGUGGUGGCUUCUAUAUGAAGGCUUCAGCAUUGAUAUCUUAAGAUGUAAGUGAGGUAUUUUUGAAGGAUGACUUGGGCCACUCUGCAUCACUUAUCUCAUAGUAAAAGAAACAAGACAUAAGAUAACUUUUCAUGUCAAUGAAUUAUUACAGGAGCCUUAUAUAAACAUUAGAAACACUAACAACCACCGCUAACUCUACCACUGCUCGUUUAUUCAGAUACCUGCUAUUGUGUAUCAGAUAUAUUUAUACCAUUUACCUUAUUCAUAAAUCACAGUAAAAUACACAAAGGUAACUGAUGAUGUUAGUGGAUAUAUAGUCAUAAUUUGCAGUAGGCCUAUCUCGUUUCAUUGAUUCCACAUUAUUAUAUCUUUAUAAAUAUUCAAAUAAAUUUUCUUCUAAAUGAUUGAUAAGGAUAAAUGAGUUAAUAAUCUACUCAUUUAAAUCUCCAAGUCACACACCAUCAACUAUAAUAAGUCAAAUUAUUUAUAGUAGCUAAUAAGGAUAAAUGAACAAAUGUUACUCGCUUAAAUUCCCAAAUUUAUACCUCCAACUAAUUACUACAUAAAAAAAUAAAUAAAAUUAAAAUUAUGAACAUCUCACUGAAUAAAUUAAAUAAACAAAAUAAUAAAUAUAAAUAAAAAUAAGACUAUGACUAAAUAAAUUAAAUAAACAGUAUAAUAAAUAUAAAUAAAAAUGAGAUUAUGAAUAUUUUAUUAAAUAGAUAAAACAAAUAGAAUAAUAAAUAUAAAUAAAAAUAGAGUUAUGAAUACUCACUAAAAAAAUUAAAUACACAUAAUAAUAAAUAUAAAUAAAAUAAGAAUAGUGCACAUAAUUAAGAUAAAUAAAUAUAAUGCUAUGAAAUACAUAAAAAUGAUAAAUAAAAUAACUUGUCCAAGUAAAUUAUACUUCUCAGUUGAAACGAAUGAGUUACAGAGUAAAUAUAAGGUAAGAUAAAUGAUAGUUGAAAAGGGGACAGGAGUGGAAGAAAAUGAAUGAAGAAGGAUAGUACUUAUUAUAUUAACCCUUAUAUCAAAUACAUCCAUUCAACUUUAUUAGAGUGAAUGGCAGAAAUAGAAUGAAAAAAUAAAAAAAGUAUAGACAUUAUAUUUGAUUCCCUAUACCUUAACAUAAAAUAAUUUCUAUUUCUAUGAAAACUCUCAAAUAAUGUAUGUUACUUCCUACCUUGUUAAAGUACAAAGGAAUAAUAUAUAUACACCCAUUCAAACAAACAUCUCAUCUUUCUCUUUACUUAUGUCUCCAUAAUUAUCAACCUUACAAAAUUUCCAUUAUUUAUUAUCAAAAAAAUGACUACGCAAAACUAACAAUAAAACCAAUUCAUCAACACUCUAUUUUUAAAACCUAGAUCCCAGGCUAUCAUUCAUAAUUUUAAAAAAGAAUUAGGGCAAAGUCAACGGCUAAUAUUCGAGAAUAGAUAGAUCCUCUAUAUAUAUAUCUGUGUAUUAAAAAAACACCAUAAUGUUAGUAAUUAACUAUUCUGAUUUGUUGACAUUAACUGUCUGAAUAUUUUGUUAUGCUUUGUUUGGUCUGAUAUAAGUUGGUUUGAUCUCUGUUAUUUGAUGCCCAUUUGUUAGGCGUUAGGCAAAGUUUGGAGAUGACUCAUCUUCUGUUGUAUCCAACUUCAGAUUUUUCUUAUUUAAUGAAAUUCGCGUUUUUUUUUAUCUAUAAUAUAUAUGAGAAAGGAAGUAAAAUAAAAAGAAACAAGAGUAGAUGGAAGGUAGGUGUGGAUAGGAGUUUGAGGUCCAAAAAGUAUGAUUGGUUUUUUAAAGGCCUUGGCUCGUUAUAAACCUAAAACUGAAGUUAAACUCCCAAUAAAUCUAAUGUAUCUAUAAUAAAAACAUGCUUUAUUACCAUCUUUAACCUCUAAUCUUCAUACAAAGUACUUAAUUAAUUUCUCAAGAAAAGGGAUGAAAUAUUAUUAUUAUAAUUUAUAGAGAGAAUUCAAAACCCCAACAUUUUUCUUCUUAUUAUUCUUUUAUUAAACGUAGCUGUAUGAAAAAAUUAUCCCACAUAUUCAUCCCGAUUUCUUCUAAAAGUCAAAGGAGAACAAUUUCAAAGUGCACCCUUUUCAUAAAUGAAACCACCUUAACAGUCUCUCCUUCUGUUAUAUUUAUAAUGUGAAAGGUAAUUAAGAAAAUACAGUAACAGAAUAUCUUGCUUGCUGAGCAUGGCAUCUAAAACAAUUUCAAUGUGUUUAUGUUGAGAAUGCGAGAGAAACCUGAAAUUACGCUUGAUAUGCUGUCUAAGCCACAAAAACAGAAGAAAAUUACGUGGGAAUAAUGUCUUGCGAAUUAGGUGGAUAGUUAACUUCAUUGGUGCUGCAGUUCAUCACAUAAUUUAUGGCUUUUUCAUCACUUUGGCUAAUGUGUUACUCUCAUGCUAUCAGUUUUUUUCUAUAUACCUACACACCAACAACACGCAUCUUUUAACAUUUCAUCAUCAUCUCUUUCAAUAUGGAUUAACUUUAUCCUAAUCUUUAUUAGGCAAACAUAUUAUAUAUCCUACAAUGUUAUAUAGCAUGCAUAUAAAUGGUAUUUUAAUAUAUUUGUUUAUACUAUCUUCAUGAAAAUUAGUAUGACUCGUAAUUCUAUCCAGUAUGUUCAAAUAUCUUAGGUUAAGGUUUCCAAAAUUUCUUCUAUUUGUCCAAGAACGAUUAUAGGAAUUGUGGAUCCUCUCUCACUUGAUAGAACAGAAUCUUAUGAACAAGCUAGCAAAGUUUAAAAAUAGAAGCAUUAUUUAAAAUGUUCAUAUAAUUUAUAAUAAGAUGUGGCAAUUACGAUGAGAACUAUUCAGCAAACAAAUAUGUACAUAGAUAAUGGAAUAAAAUUUGCAGAGGAAACAUGGGCUGCGAUGCAAGGAUGAUACAUAUUAUGCUCAUCCAGUUGUCGCCAUAUAGGAUCUAUGUAUAUACUAUGGCUGAGAUCAAAUCGUAUAGCAUCUGCGAUUUCUUGAAAGUGAGCAUUUUAUACGUACAGAACAGAAGAAUCUCUGCCAUGUCCCAACUAUGACUGGAAUUAUGUCUGGGCAUUAGCUUGUUUGGCAUCAGGUUCUUAUGUUCUUAGGUUCUUGGAGCAUUUUUGGAUUGGAUUGGAUGCAAUUUCUCAUUUUAUUUUUGGCUAUUUCUUCUUCAACUUCCGUACCUUCUUUUCAUAUCUCCAUUAGGUUAUGUAAGUUAAAAUAUAAUUUUAGAGGAUAGAUUUCAAAAGUCUUCACGAAAAAUAAAAUAAUUUUAUAAUAUAUAUAUAUAUAUAUAUAUAUAUAUAUAUAUAUAUAUAUAUAUAUAUAUAUAUAUAAAUAUAUAUAUAUAUAUAUAAAUCUUAUACAUGUAUAAACUUAAAGUUCAACUCUUAACAUAUAUAUAAUGAAAGGAAAUAAUCUAUUACAAUAUUUAAAUUUGUAGGAUCCGGUUAAGUUUAAAAUAUAACUUUCAUUCCUUCUUUUCAUACUUACGUAACAUAAAAUUGUAGAAUCUAAAGCAUGAUUAUGUAACUUUAAAUUUAUCUGUGAUAUAUUUUCUCCAUUACAUUAUAGAAUUAUGUGUUUUAAAGAAUGCAGUUUCGAAUGUUAUUGCAAAGAUAUAUUAAUAAUUUUCUAUAUUGUAUGAGAGUAAAGAAAAUAUGGAAAACCCUUUAUUUCUUUGGAAGUGGAGAUAAGAAUGACUGGGGUGUCAAUAGGAAACAUAUUAUGUAUCAGUAUUUAAUUAGAUAAAAGAAAAAAGAUAUUUUUUAUAUUUAUUUGUGUUCUGUUUAUGCAAGAAAUAUCUAUAACCCUAUCUAUAAAUAUUUGCUUAGAAAGCUCCCUUCCCUUCAUCUGCUAUUGCCUUCUCUAUAUUCUUAAGUUAGUUGAUUCUGUGAUGUUUCUUAUAUGUGUGUGUGUAUAUAUAUACACAGACAAAAGAUUGAGAGAAGAGAAAAUAUAUAGAAGAACAAUUAUUAUAUGAUCAUGUAAUCUGUACAUAUACAUCUAAUGAAAAACGGUGACCCCCUUUGUCCCCGCUCCAUAAUCAUCUACAACAAUCUCAAAAAGACUAUGGCUCACAUCAUAGCACUCUUGCCAAGGAAAUCAACAAACAUUUCUCAUGGCUCACAAGAAACAUAGGGGAGCACUUAAGUUGAAGAAGGCAAUAGGCUCAUUUAAUUCAAGCAUGCCCUCUGGCUUAAAGACCAAUAUAUGCCACACAACUAUGAACUUCCAAUGUUAUCCACCCUAUCAAUGACAUCUAAGGCCUUCAUUCGAUGAUUAUCAAAGUCAAUGACAGGAACAGAAGGUAGCCUCCUUGUUGAGAAUAUAUCAUUUUUGCUUUCACUGAUUGGGGAGUGACUGCUACUCUUGCUUAGCCUAUGCUGUUUGCUCAACCUGGUCUUGGUAGUGUCAAAUUCUUGGCUCUUACUAAUGCCCGGUGUUAGCUUCCUCUUGCUGACAUCUCGGAGCAUUUGUUGAUCUUCAACUGUUAGCAUGGGAGAAGAACAGGUUUUAUGCGUAAAUAACUGCCCUGUCUUUUGGGUAGGAGAACGGAUUGGUGAUUUAACUGGGGACCUUAUUCCUCCAUUUCCAACUCUUACUUGGCUGACAAGAUGAUGAAGCCAGAUAACAAGUUCAAGUAUAUAAGCUUCUGUCUUGUCUUUGUCAGCAUGGUGUAGUGUUUCAAUUCUCAACAAAUCGGUCUGGCCGGCGGGUUUCCGGUUGAUCUCAGACCUAUACAAGCUGACAUUAGAAAAAAUAGGUAGAACAUACAAACAUAAAAGGAAUAGAAUCCAGCUAUCUGUCCUCACCCAGUAUUUGCCCAUUCUCCAACCCAUCCAAAGCCAUGAUGAGCUCUGAAUUAAUCCAAGGUGAAAAGGAGAUAGUUAAAUUUGAGAGCAGAACAUGUAGUAGAACAUAAUUUAUUAAGGCUAAUGCCUAAUAGUAACACGGUUAAAGCAAUAGUGUAUUUUGAAAGGGCGUCCCAAAUUGCUAUUAAAAAAUAGAAUGAUGAGCAUUGUUAUUUAAUGAUCAUAAUGGAAAAAAAACUUUAAACAGAUUUGUUGUACCAAAUGCAGUACUAGGACAUCUAGGAAUUGCUUAGUAGGGAUUAGCAAAUAUACUUCGUUGUGUUUGCAGCAAUAGGGACAAGCCACUGCAAUAUUUUCUCCAUUUCAGCUUUGAUUUGUGGGACAGUAAGCUGCAAGAAUGUUUUAGAUUUAGAUUCAAAGUUUGGUCACAAUCAAUAUUGGGAAUGUAGUAUAAGCUUUAAUAGUAACAACUCUUUCAGCAGAGAUAAAUUCAAUAAAAAUCAUUAAAAGAUGGAACUGGUAAAGUCAUUAACAAGCACUUAAUAAAUUUAAAUUAAAACCUUUCUCGUCAAGUAUGGGUUACAAGAAAAUUGAAAAUUAUGAAGUAAACGUUAAGUUUUUUAAAGGCAAAAAUUUUGAGUCAAUCAUUACGUGGAAUAUAUUAAGAGAAUAUUAGAAAGAAAAACUAAAUAUUAAUUUAAUAAGUGCUCACAGUUGCAAAAGCAUAGACCAGCAUGUAAGUUUGAAGUACAUAUAACAAGAAAACAUUGCUUGACACAUACAACAAAAAUCAGUAUUGAGUUCUUCCCCUUGUUUAAGUCAAUUAAAUUCUUCCAUGCAUACGACUUAUAUAAAAAGAGGGAGAAUGGAUUUAUAUAUUCAAAAUAUAUUAACAUGCGAGAAUAGUGCAUUUUAUACUCUUAAUAAAUUAAAUGAUCUUACUUAGAAGAAAGUGAGAUAAAAAUUCCAAUUAGAUUCAAACUUUCUAAAUGAAAAAUUAAAGGGGCACAUCAAUAAUUAAUCAAGUAUUUAUGGUAUGGAUACCCAGCUAAUAAAAUGUAUGAUGGGAAUGGAAUAUGCACCUCUUCUUUAACCUGAAAUGACUGUAACCUUGAGCGCAAUGCUGAUUUUACAUUAGGCGGAAGCCCCUGAUAUAAGGCAUCCCUUGUAUUAGGAGGCACAGAACUUGAUCGAGACACCUGGUUAAAUUAAAAUGUAAACUCAGGGCUACAUUCCUAAUAGUAGUGCUAUCAUUUUUUUUUAGAAACAAAUAAUAGUGCAGUUGUGACCAUUUGUGUCUCUCUAACACCUUGAGUAGCAUUAUAUAUAUAAAACUAUAACACAUCCUUUUCGCCUUAUAGAGUUGGUGCCAUUUUUCUAUUCAAUAAAAUAUAUGAAACGAUUAAAAAGACGGCCAUAAUCUUUCCAUGAUGUAUGUUCUUUAUCCUGAUCAGUCCUAAUAAUAUCAGAAUCACAGUAGUCAGAAUCAUAAUGCCCAAAAAAUUUAAGCCAGCCCAAAAAUGAAGAUACACUUGUACUACAUUGUCACUUCACUAGACAAGUUUUAGAAUGGAUCAAACUUAAUGAACAGAGGACCAGCAGACAGAAGAGGCAAAAAAGAAGACAGCAAACGGACUCUAGAACCUCGAGAUUUGGACACAAAAUCUCAAGCAUUUUAUUUUUGCUUAAUUUUUUUCCUUGCAUGUCAGAUGUCACUCGUUUAUUGGAGCAUGGCUACUCCUUAAGUAAAUCAUGAUCUUAUUCGUGCAAAUCGUGCAAAUAUAAGAAAGGACUUUUGUGUUCAUCUUACUUCUCAAGAGAAGUAGGUAACACGCAAAACAAGAAAUGAAAAAGAAUUGCAUCUCCUGUUUGACAGGCUUUCCUGGUGUGUGUAUCAAAAGAAACUAGAAGUGGCCAAUCAAUUUUGAUCAACUUUUAAAGUUUCCUAAUAAUGGACAAGCUUAACUUAAAAUAUUCAAAAGAAACAAAUUUUAUUAACUGCUUUUAGUUAUUAAAACUUCACUUGGAUAGACAAAUGAUCAGAACCCAGAUAGCCAUAGAAUCAAACUGACUUUAAAAUGAGGUAGGAAAACCCAAAAUGUUCCUACAGUAUCCAACUGAUCAGUUUCUUUUUACAUUAGAGAGGUAGUGGUCUUCCUUUUGGUAACAUUUUUUUUAAUAAAGUGAACACAAUAACAGAUUAGGCCAAAUAACAGAAGUCAUUAAAGAGUUCAGAAAAUAGGAAUUUUGCAAUAUAUAAAAUUUCUUGUAUUAAUAAUGAUUGAGUUAUACUAAAGUAUUUAUAAAAUCAGAUACCUUGAGCUGCAAGAUUGUCAAUUUAGUUCUAACUGUCUACAACAAACUCCAGCUGUCCUACUAGAAUUACAGGUGGCUCAAUGCUAAGAAUAGUCUAAUACUAAUUAUACUAACAGUCAUUCAUACCAUUAUGACAAAUAUGGAGAGAGGAGAAAACGAGAGAACUGUUUCAUUUCAUGAAAAUAAUAUAAAAAGAUAAGUUGAAAGAACCAAUGCUAUCACCAUAUCCCCAACAUUAUCAUGAAUAGGAAGCUGAGUUUGAGGUGAUUUUUUUUAACACACUAUUAUGCUUGUUUGAGACCUGUGUAAAUGCAUUACAUCCCUUCUAUUCUUUCCUUCUCCAAUUUUGUUAUUAACAAUAAUAUUUUACAGCCAACAAAGACAAAGAAAGAUAAUUGAACUUCCAAGACCAUGGCAAAUAGUAGAGAUUAUGUAAUUUAAGUAGAAUCCUAAACUCACAAGAGUGUCAAUUUGAGUGAUAAUGUUCGCAUAAUGCAGAGCAAGACCCGCAGAUCCCAACUUCUUGUGGUUACUUUGAGAAUCUUUGGCUUGCUUAUCAGUAUCUGCAAGGAGGAAGGGGUAUAAAACAAAUGUUUUAUUUACCUGGUAUUUUAGCAAUGGCAAUGGAUAGUCUACAUUUUGUCAGUAAAAUGAAAGGAGGAGAAACUAAAUUGAGCGGGACUAUGAACAAAAUAGGUCAGGACAAGGUGAACAGAUCAGAAAAUUCAUUCACAAAAAAUAUGGGACAAGUUAAAAAGAAAUUAUGAGAAUCAUUAUUAUUGCAUCAAAUUGAUGCACACAACUUCACAUCAAACCAUUGAAAGCACAUAAGCUUUGCAACUAUAACCAUACAAAUAAAUGGGCCAUUUUGCCCUUGUUGAAUACCAUAUCUAGACUAUAGGUCAAUGCUAUAGCAAAGAGUUUCUUUCGUCAAUAAAUCAAAUACUCUUCCUACAAAUAAAACUCCAGCAAGUUUGACAAAUACAUGACUGGGAAAUAAAUAGAUGUCAGGUCCACCCUAACUAAUUUGUCCAUACUCGGAACAAAAUUAAAGAAUAUCACAAACUUAGCUAAACACAAUAAAAAAUACUGGGAAUUCUUGAAAACGUACCAGAACUACCAAAUGCUUCAUGGAUCUCCAAGUAUAGAAAAUGGACGAUGUCUACAAGCUUUUCCAUCACCUGCAAAUACAACAAUUAGAAUUUAUACUUGUAUGAUAAGAAAAAUGCUCAAGAAAAGGAGGCUGAAAGAAUUGGAAAAGUAAAUUUUAUUAGGAAAAAAGAGGAACAAAAGGGGGAAAUGAAUGUAGUUAAACUGAAACAACAACAAAAUUCAGUAAAAAUAAUUCAAGGAUUUCAGAGAAAGCACAUUUCAGAUGCCCAAUCAUCAAUACUACAAAACUAAACAAAUACAGAAUACUAAAUCUAAGAUAACCUUCUAUUAUAAUAAUCGAUUUCACCUAAAAUAUUUGUAGAAAUAACACUGUUUACCUCUUCUAAAAUCUUGGACCAUAAUGAUUUUUUCUUCAGAUUUCUUACAUGCUUCUUUUGACUCUUCAGUUCUGCUCUUAAAAUUGCAAGGCUGUCUCCUACACAGUUUGUAAUCAUUGAUCACUAAAAAAUAUGAGUAUUAUUGUGAUAAGAAAGACAAACAUAGUUAUAACAACAAGAGAAAUAUGACUUGGAGGUAAAUGAACUAAGAUGUCACACACAGCAUACAAGCUCAGUAGUUAAGAUGGAGAAGAGCAUCAGAGGUUAUUUGUGACAACAGAGUACCAACCAAACUAAAAAGAAAGCUUUCUCAUAUUGUUAUAUGGUAGUGAAUGUUAGGUUUUAAAGAGAUAUCACGAGAAAAAGGUGAGAGCCGCACAAAUGAAUACGUUAAGAUGAAUGUGUAGCCACACAAAAGACAAUACAAAAUAAUUUUAAUAUUGUAUAUGAGGUGAUAUUGGCUGGAUACAAAUUGAGAAAGAAAUGGAGAAAAUUGGUUAAGCUAGUUUGAAUACAAGCAAAGAAUGCCACUAGAGGAUGAAUCGACAUAUAUUUUAGUCAAAACUACUGUAAACAAGACAUUGACUCAGAAACAAAUAAUUUUUCAAAUUCUCAAUACAAGAACAUGGAAUUUGUUUUAGCCCAUAUGUUAAUUCAUUAUUUCCUUUUUUUUAUUUUUUUCAGAUUUAAUUACACUUGCUUCCUCACUAUAUGUAAUGUAACUACUGCAGUUUUCCUUAUUUGUACUUGAAGUAAUCAUGGUUCUGGGAUAGCCUUUAUAACCAAAUCUGUAUACAUCGUAACUUGCAUUGUACAGUUUUCAAUUAUCAGAAAUAAUAUUGAUUUUUUGUCAUGUCUCAAAGAGUAUUUAAUGACAGUUGGAUAAAUAAAUCCAUGCCAACAUGUACCUCUUUGUGUGGCAUUUGAAUUGUCCUCUUCUUGAAGCUUGCGCCGAUAAUCUUGAUCAAAUCUAUCUAAAGCAUGCAACUCAUGAUAUAAUUCCUGCACUCAAAGAAAAAGGUCUAACUAAAUUAAGUCAAGUUAACAAAAUCAGUUGUGCAGCAUAAAGAAAUAAGAACCAACUUUCCUUUCGGAUGUCUAUUUUUUCUCUUAUUUCACAAAGUAAAGGGAGGAGAUGAAUUGGAAUCAGAUCAUGACUCAUUUUUCAAUUAAAAAAAGAAGAAACCUCGAACCCUUCUUUGCUCUCCAAGUUAUUAUCGUUCUGCUUUUCUUUAUUGUUUUCUGUUUUGUUCUUUAGUUGAUGAAUUCAACCCUCCCCUUCAUAAUUUUUCUCUUGGUCUUGUGAAUUUCUUUCCUUCUCAAAAGAAUAUAAUAAAAAUGAUCUUCAAGAAGCUUACAUUGCUUUAUUAUUGACUCUGAUGUCUCACAUGCAUAUAACUAAAAUAUAUGUAUAUAUAUGCAUGUGUAUAUGUGUGUGUAUGAUAAAAAAGGAAUGCAAAUAAUUCAAAAAUAUUAAAUUGACAAGCUAUUUACCCACACAUGAAAAUUUGAUAUCCAACUAGUAACACAGAUGUUGCUUGUGUUUGUUGAGUUCAAAGUUGAAAAUUAAAAUGAAAAGGUAAUAAAUGCCACAUUAAUCUAGCUAAAGGUAUGUAAAAUUGUCAAACCUUAGUUAGCUAAAGGUAUGUAAAAUUGUCAAAGGUUAGUUUUUAAGGAUAAUUUCUUACAAAAAAAGUCUAAUAUAACAUUAAUUACUCUUCUGUCAAUUAUAACCUUACUCUUCACCUAAUCUUUAAUUAUAAGCUUUUAUUGUAAUGUGAAAUAAAAAAGUUCAUAAUUAUUUUAUUAAGAUCUACAAAAUUAUCGUGUUUCUUGAUUUCUACAAAAGAACCUUAAAUAAUUGACAAAAUAAAACGGGGGAAUAUUUAUCUCAUACUACUUAACCACUAUAUAACUUAAUUAUUCAUGAUUACCUAUAUCAAACCUUUUUUUCAUAAUUAAACAAGAAUGUUUGGAAAUCAAGCUUAACUUAAAUUAUACAAGUGUUAAAAAAUUGUUCAUAGGUUUCUUAAUAUGCAUAACAUGACAGAUGAAAGAAAGUAGCAAUUUCAUUGAGAAACAAUCCGUAAAUUCAAGACAGUAAAAACCAGAAAGCACAGGAAAAAUGUCCAUCUAAGUACCUCUCAAUCUAAAUGUGCAAAUGUAUAACCUGUUAAUACACAUUCUUUCUUAUAAUAAGUGCAAUAACAUAGAUAGCUAAGAUUAAAGUUUCAGAUAUAAAGUGGAAAUAUAAUAGACAGUAAAUUAUCAAUCUCUGAAAUGAAAGUUUAUAUCUAAUUAAAAAUGGACGGUGACAGUGAAUCUCUUAAAUAAGAUACCUUUACACAACAUGGCUGCAGCAUAAAACAAAAGUGAAUUCAACUAAUAACAUGCAAUUACCAAGCAAUUGAGACGGCUUUAUUUUCUUCAUAUGAAUGUAGUUUUGUUUUAAGUGAUAUUCUUGGCAAAGGGAAUGAGGGUGAUAAGAGAAUUUCAAACUACAACAGAGGUUUGUUUGAAUAAAAUUCUUCACAAACACUUUUAAAAGAAAUAAAUAAAUUAAAAAGUGAAAUAAAUCUCUCUGCGAGCUAUUAUAUAAUAGCUUCUCCAAAAUAUGUUUUUAUACUCUUGCAUAGCUUAAUUUAAGUUUAUGGAGAAGUUUAUUUCAUUUUUUUUUUCUUGCUUUCUUCUCCUAAAAGUGUUAACAGGGAAGCUUACUCAAAGAGGCCCCAAAACACAGUUUCCCAUUAGUUUUGUGCAAACUGUAUGUUGAACACAUUCCUUAGAUACAAUACUCAAAUACACACUUUGGCAAAGAUAUAAAGUGUUAGGAGUUCAGCAUACAAAUCCGAAGAUGACAAGGAUAUGCACUGUUCCUUUUAACAGGCUUACUCACAGCUGUAUAUUGAACAAAGGUCAUUAGUUGUUGCAUCACAAUUUCUGCCUCCUCUUUCAAUUGUUUUUGUGGUGUGAGCUCUGAACAUAACCUAAACAUCAACAAAGGCAAAGAAAACCAUAACAAACACAAUGUUAGAUGUUACAAGAAAAUAUAUAAAUAAAGACUAAAUCCAUUCAGCUAUAUUUGUUCUUAAGAAAUAUAAGAUUAAAUCAAUUUAACUACAAUUACUUCUCAAAAUAGCGAUCUAGGUUGUGCCACUGAGGAUCUUUACAACGAUUUCCAAAUCGCACAACUUCUCCUGAAAAUAUUUUCAACUCUUCUCUGUCAAAAAAGAAUAAGAAAGUGAAAACUUUAAGAAAAUAAGUUCCAAACUAGAGUAAGAGUUCUACUGUGUUGAUCAUGAAAAUAUCCAUUAUAGUCUACCUCUUGUCUGCUGCAGCAAUUCUUAGGAGUUCAUCCAUAUCUCUGGAUAUCAAAUUUUUCACUCCUUCAGAUGGCAGAACCACCUCUUUUAAAUGUCUGAUGUUCUCUUUUGAAAGAGAUUGCAUCAGAUUGGCACCCUUAACAAUUGUGUUUGCAACUUCGAAGGCCAAAAUUGAAAUUUUAUUUCCUUUUGUUGACACACCAGACGUAAAACCACUACUGAGAUUCAAAUUUGUCAUACUACUACCUAGCGUGUCCAAAACUUCUACUGCCUUGCCAAGCCCAGCUGUACCAGCUCUUCCUAAAAGUGAACUCACUUCUGAUACCUGUAAUACACCAAAAGAUAAGACAAAAAGCCAAUCUAAUCCCUUGUUUGCAUAUAUGGGAAGCCUUAAAGACCUGAAAAUGGGGAAGGGGGAGAGAAAGGAAAUGGUAAAGAAUAUAGAUCCAAUCGAACCCAUGAGAUAAGAACAAGCUCUUCUUUAAGACCAAUGUUUGGCACCAUGGAGGUAUUAGCUCAUUAGAAAAAUGGAGUCUAAUUAAUAUAAUUAAAAGCACAACAUAUGUAAGCACUUCUCUGUAAACUCACAUAUCUUGUAGUACAAACUCCAGCCUUCUUAUGACAAAGAAUUAUCUAGACAUCUAACCACACAAUAUCGAUUAGCACCUUCCUGUUGCACCUUCCAAUCAAUUGGCUGACAUUCACUAUAACUCUCCUCCCUAUAAACCUCACAAUGUGUUGCCAAGCUGGGACUCUUGCACAUCCAGAGUCCAGCAUGAAGGGGAAUAUUGCAGCUGAAAUUUGUUAUUAUUUUCUACAAUUCAUAGAUUGCUUAUGCAUUAUUUGUAGUGGGACACUUGUCACACAUCCCUCCCAUUCUCUCCCUUGUUUGUUAGGACACUUGGCACACAUCCUUGUUAUUCUCUUUCUUGUUGGUUAGGUACAGUUUUCUAUACAGCACCUUGUACUGAUCUUUUAUGCAAUGAGAAUGCAUGAAAUCAUUUCAUAAGUAUCUCCAAUGCUCACUGUAGGUUCAAAUGUGAUUCGGUUUUACCUUCGCUUUGAUACACUAAAUUUUGUUGUCUUGGCCUUAGCUAGUGAUGAAUUUUAAUCACAUUUCCAGAGAAAGAUAAAAGAGAAUUUGUAUUAAUGUUAAAUGAAUACAAAAGUGACUGAGUCUCUAAUUUACAGGCCUAUAAGGAGUCAGUCAAAACUCCUAACAGAUACUGCUCAAUACAAAAUACAAAAGAGAAGCGUAUUCUCUUAAACUCUGAAGAAAAUUCACUGAACCAAUUUAGAGAAUUAAAUACACAAAAUAAUGAGAAAUAUCCCGUUAAUAAUUAAAAUUGGCAUAGUUUUGUAAAUAUUGGAAUUUUUUAUGGAUAUUGUUUUACGUAAAUACACACUAUACUUCGUGAAAAAUUGCAGAAAAAUGUGGAAUACGCUCCCAUUGCCCAGCAGCAGUCUUGUCACUGCAGGGUGAGGAGUUCAACUUGGCACAAACUAUACGUAUGAGAGAUGAGAGAUGAGAGAAAAAUUAAAUCACAUAGAUUGAGUAUCAAACUACAAGAGGAGAUAACUGGAGUGAGAUUGAGAGAAGUGGUAGAUACUAAGAGUGACCUUCGUUCCCAUGAUGAUAUAACAAGAUGCAGAAUCAGUCAUGCAAUGAAGGUCCAGUGGUGUUUGCAAAAAGAGAUUUGCAAAUGGGUAGGCAAGGAUUUGGUAAAUGAGAAGAGAUUUUAGGGAUUUUGGAACCUGGUCAAACACAAACCAGCCUUUUUUACUUGCUCUGCCUAGCUGGGGACCAACGAUCCCACAAUUGCACAUGGAAUGUCGGAAUCCAGCUCCAACCUUACUCCUUGGCAAUCCCAACAACAAUUCAGCUUGCCAAGGCAUGUCCGAUUGGCAGAUCAUAUGAUCCUAUGAGGUAAAUCACGAUUUUAAUAACAAUGGUACAGAUGACUUGGGAUCACUGGAAAAUUUUCGCCAUGUCAGUUGGAUUAAAAACUAUAAGGUUGGUUUUACAGGAAUUCCAAGCAUGGAACUGCUUUAUGUGGUAGAAAUUGGAGAUGCAGUCUGCCCGAAAAUCAAUAUGUUGUCACUCUGCAAAUUUGGCGGCUCUUUAGUGAAUUUCAUCAGUGUAUACUAUCAGGAGCUCUGACCUAAUAGCUUAAGCUUUUUGGAGAGAUAAUCUUGAUAUUGUAUCAAAGCGUCAAUAGACAAGACCUCACAGGUUUGAUGCUUGAUGCUACUAUUCUAAAUAAAUUUGAAUUGGCAUGUUAGCNUUAAUACAAUUGUAUGAAUUUAUAUAAUUAGCUCACCCUUGCCUUUGUUGUUUGUGUUUAUGUAUGUUGUUUGAUUCCCUGUUGCGAUGAUCAUCAUUCUUGGAUGUGAGUAGAGGAGAAUGACGUCUCCGUUGAGAACGCUUUGGAAGAGAACCACGACACUGCUGCUACUUAGUUCCUUAGGAUUUUUUUUUUUAAACUGUUAAAUUCUAUUUGAACUCUGAUGUAUUUUGACAAACUUUAGUAUCUUCCCACGUGUUUUAAAUUUCUUCUAAAUUUCCUGGAUUACUGUAUAUAAUCUAUGGUGACGUCUUGAUUUUUGUAUACAUGUAUGUUAUAAAAUAAAGAUGUCACAGUAUGAAUAAAAAAUUAUAAAAAAUAAUUUGUCACACUAUUUUAUAAAGUAAAGAUUAUUGGUUUCUAAAUAUUCAUUAUGAAUAAAAAAAUUAUAAUUACUCAUUAUCUAUAUAUACAUAAUUAUCUAUAAAUACAUACAAGAUAAUGUUUAUCAUUAUCGGUAUCAGUGGAAAUAUGUGUAUAUGUAUUUAUUUUUACAUUAUGAUGACAAAAGUUAUUUUUUUAUUUAUUAUUAUUAAAACAAAAAUAGUAUUAGAUUUUAAAUGAAAUAUGUUCAUAUAAAAUGAUUUUAAAAUAAAUAAUUUUACCGUGGAUAAUUUUUAUUAUAUAUAAUUGAGUUUUAAAAGAUUAACUAUAAAUUUUAAAGGAUAAAAUAAUAAAAUAAGAUAUAUUAAUAAUAUAAAAUUGAAAAUAACACGUGUAUACUAAUGUAAAAUCUUUAAAAAGUAUAAAUAUGUAAACAAUUACAUUUUUAGAAAGUUUGUUGUAUCUAAAUAAUCUCAUUAUAUAUAAGAUGACAUUUAUAAUCACAUAUAUAUCUGUAUUUUUGUUUUUAUAUGAUUAAUAAGCGGGUGAGUUUAAAUAAGAUUUAUUUUGAAUUAAAUUUGUUUUAAAAGUGAGUUUUAAUUCAUUCAGCUUAAGAUAUGAACAAGAAAUUAUUCUUUUAACACAUUUAAAUUUUUUACAUUUUUUACAUUAUAGGUAGGAGAUAGAGACUGAAUCUUUAUCUUUUUUUCUUUUCUGUUGAGUAAUACUUAUUUAAGUUUUCUGUUUUUCUCCUUUUUGGAAGGAUGUCGCUUUCUGUUUUUCUCCUUUUUGAAAGCAUGUCGCCAACCUUCGUUCCCAUGAUGAUAUAACAAGAUUCAGAAUCAGUCAUGCAAUGCAUUUUGGAACCUGGUCAAACACAAACCAGCCUUUUAUACUUGCUCAGCCUUGCUAGGGACCAAAGAUCCCACAAUUGCACAUGGUUCGAUUGGCAGAUCACAUGAUCCUAUGAGGUAAAUCACGAUUUUAAUAACAAUGGUACAGAUUCACCCUAAAAUCAGUAAGAUGAUUUACACCUCACUUAUAUAUUAUAGAUAUAUUAUAGAUAGAAAUUGCCCGAAAAUCAAUAUGUUGUCACUCUGCAAAUUUGGCGGCUCUUUAGUGAAUUUCAUCAGUGUAUACUAUCAGGAGCUCUGACCUAAUAGCUUAAGCUUUUUGGAGAGAUAAUCUUGAUAUUGUAUCAAAGCGUCAAUAGACAAGACCUCACAGGUUUGAUGCUUGAUGCUACUAUUCUAAAUAAAUUUGAAUUGGCAUGUUAGCAAGGCAAAAAAAAAAUGCCUGAGUUCCCACAGAAUUGGUUAAGCUUUUGGGAGACUUUUAUCUUUGUCAGAGUGAAGUACGUAAGUUUUUAAGGGUAUACAUUUUAGCUAAAUAUGCUUUGAGAUUUUGGUUCAUGGCUCCACCUAAGUGCUCUACCCAUGGCUUUUUCAAGAGAGUUUCCGUUUCUAAUCUGAAGACAGUUUGUUUUCUUUCUCUGAAUAGUAUCUUGUCCCCCCAACUGUACCUCCCCUCUUUUCACUCUAAUGAAAUAGCUUUUUCUAUUAUAAAACUUCUUGUUUUUCCUUCAUAUUCACACAAAAAAAAAACAGCUUUCCAGCCAGAGGCAUCUUUGCAGCAUAUUGAUUAUAAGAACUUCCAAAUACAAAAUAAGCUAAUCCAACCUAGAAGAAUAAAAAGAUCAAACAUGAGAAAGGUACUCAACUUAACAGCAGCUUGUUUGGACUUAGAUUUAUGCGAUAAAACCCUGGACAGGCGAGGAAUCCCAUCAUUGAUAUCAUCUGCCAUUGACCCAUACGAAACAUUUUCCAAUCCAGUAAAAGAAAACGACUCUCGUUGAUGUUUAUCCAAGUCGUCAUCAUCAGGAAGCGCAUUUGAAUUGCUAUCUAUACUUCUGGGAGGUCCAAUAGACUGAUAAGCCAUUCCAGCUUCACUAUUAGCAUGACCAUUAGUAUGCCUCGAGCUUCCACUGAGUGCAUUAUCCACAGCUACACCAUCAACAGUGCCUUUCCAUGACCUCGAGCAAAUACCACCCAUAUUAUGUCUAAUUGCUUGUCACUCUAUAGUUUUCUUCUCUGUACACAAUGUCCAUACAACACACCCUAUAACUCAAACAAAACUUCAACACAGAGCCUUCAAUUCACAGGAAUGGUAUAAUCAAGGCACAAAAUUUGAUGAUACCAAUUUUGAUCACCCUUACUGCUCCACUCCAUCAACUCUGUUCAAGUCACAAAAUCUUUUCUAAAUUAGAGAAAUAAAUUAAAAAUCCAUAAAAUCUAACAUAGUAAAAAAAAUAAAUCCAGAGGAAAACAGGAGAGACCCAAUUAACUAAUUAGAGAGAGAAAAACGGAACACCCCAACCCAUGAAUCAAAGCUAUUCUACAGAAACCCAAUAGAGUAGAGGAUCAAAUAAAGGUAAUCGACAGGGUAGAGAGAUACCAGAAGAAGAGAUCUGUGAGAAGUGGCAAGUGUGCCAUUCUGAGAGGAAGAGAAAGCAAAAGGGGUGCAAGAGAAGGUGAAUGGCAAUGGAGGGUCAAAGGGAUCCAAGAGAAGCAAAGAGAAGUUGAGUGAGCUUUUUUUUGCCCUCUCUCUCUCUCUCUCCCCCUCUGUUUCACAUACACAGAGUCCUCUGCCCCCGAAGUGAAACAGGAGCAGCUGGCACACGCAACACAAAGGCACAGAGGCAGACUCAGUGAAUCAGCUAUUCUCUCUCUAUCUUUCUCUCUCCACUCUGCUGUGUUGUUCCAUUUUCAGCGAUGGUCAAAACGCAGAGUUCACACACGCAUCACAACACAGCACAACCCCACUAACUGUUGUUUUGUUUUAUUUUGACCGUGGGUGAAAAUGAACAUCAAAAUGUUCUCCCAACUACCAAUGAAACGCAUCCUUUCAUGGGGUUCCCUUCGUCUUUUUCACUGCCUUCCUCUCUCUUAAUGACAACAAUCACCUUUGUGUAAUAAAAACAUUUUUCUUGUCAAACCUGAAAUUUCUCAUUUCAUUCCAAGAUGCAGAAAACACAACAUUCUCCACUUCCCAAAUCAAAUUACAUUACACGUGUAACAAGUUUGAAUCAAAAACCUAUCAGAAAAAAAAAAAACAUGUUUUUACAGAAAAAAAAGAAAAAACAUGUCAAAUGUUACUAGCUAGUGAUGUUGAGGGUAAUGAAGCGAUAGGGAACGGUAUUUAUAUGUUGACUUUAUUGCAUGUAUAUAGAUGGAAAUCAUAUUUCAUUACAUAGAAACCAUCGAUGAAACAAUAUUAGAUCAACUCCUGAUAGUUAAAAUAUACUCUAUUAAUUGAAAUAAAAUAUACUAACAAAAAAGAAAAAUAUACUAAAAUAUUUAUUAAUUCUGCAUUAAAAUUAUAUCAAUGUGCUAUUAAAAAGUUCAGUUAUUUUUAAUUUAUUUCUAUAUGAUAUUAAAGCUUGUCUCCACAUGUUAUAUUAACUUAUGUACGUUACCUAUGUAUAAAAGGUACGAAAAUUAAAUAUUUUUUCAAAAUUUGAUUAAAAAAUGAGUAUAUAAUUUUUUAUAUAGAAAUAAAUAAUUGUAAUAAAGAUAUAAAUUUAAUUAUAUUAAUGUGGAUUUUCCAUCAGAAUAAUUAUAGUGACUUUAUAUAUUAUUAUGUUUUUAUAUAAAAUAUUCAAUUAAUUGAAAAGUGGUAUAGUUGUAUUUUAUAAUUUAAAUAUUAAUAAAAUUUACUAAUUAUUAGCAUGUUUCUAAACUUAAGAAGCAUGCAUUAUCAGAAAAAAAAAAGUUUGUAUAUAUUGCCUAUUGAUAGAAGAUUACUUUUGAUCUUUUUUUUAAAAUAAUUAUAAAAGUAAGCAGAUAUAUUACAUACGAAUAUUGGCAAGUUAAAUAACACCAUAGGAGAUUUUUACAUUAUUUAUUCAUGUUCUAUUAAUGUUUUCUUUUUAAUGUUAGAUGUUCAUACAGUUUUGGAAUAUUCCCAUGGUUAUACUACGACCCUUUUUUUUUAUAACAUAAAUAUUAAUUACUUACAUGUAAAAUAUUCAUUUAUACGUUAUGCACGUAUUUUUUAGUUAGAAAUCUUAAUAUGUUUUCAUGAAAAAAAAAUUAUAUUAUAUAGUGGUAUUUGUCUUCCGUAAGCUAUACGUUAAUAAUUUAUCUAUACGUUACAAAUCUUUACUUUAGUUUUCAUCUUCUACCUUUCUUUCAUUUUAAAUAAAUCUUCAAAUGUUAUUGUUGUUAAAGUUAAGUUUAAUUUAUUGUUAUAUGAUAAAACAGCGUAAAUAAUUUGAUCUAAAUAGAAAAACAGCUAUACUUUUUUUAACCUAAUCCAAAACGCUGCAACUUAAUCUUGGAUUUUUUUUCGUAUGUCACUCAUUUUUACUUUUUUUCGUAUAAGUUUGGUUUGGUUUUCCAUACAAAACAAAGGACAAUCGAAAUGGUUAAACUUUGAGCUGGUUAAGCUCUCAGUUGUCUUAAACAAUGACGUUAAAUUUUCUGAAAUUCCAACGUAUUAAAGCAACUUGUUCGAUACUUUGUUGUUGUUGAAAUUUCAAAGAAAUUUCUUAAGCAUCAAUGAAAAACAAAACAAAGAAAAAUUAUUUCUUGCCAUGGCUUCAGAUUCUUCCUUGUCACAUGAAUAUAUACCACUGAUUUAGAAGUUUCAAAACUUGUCUGAACUUGUUAUUCAAACAGAUUGUUUUAAAUAGUAUGGCAAUUUUUCAAUAAACAGAAGUUUUCCAAAAUGGUUUGUAGUUCUUUAUAUAGUUAAAAGAAACUGCAUGAACUCACAAGGAAACCCCUGAAAGCAUUGCGGUUGGUCAACUUAGAAAAUGCAAACAAACAAGCAACUGUAUAAAAUAAGGAUAAUGAUACUUUGACACUCAAAUUCUAACAAAUUUUUGAUACUGGACACGUGUCAUAAGUCAAUUGGUUCGUGUGUUUAAUGUUUAAAAAAAUUGAAGCACACGGACCAAUUGGCUUAUGACACGUGUCUGAUGUCAAAAAUUUGUUAAAAUUUUGGUGUCAAAGUAUCUUUAUCCAUAAAAUAAAGCAGGGAAAGAAAUGAUAGAAAGAAAGUAGAUUUUAUGGCAUGGAAAUUGGAGGUGGAGGUAAAGGAUAUGUUUGUGGGCCUGAACCGGGUGGAGGAGGUGGGCUUGCUCCAAUACCCAACUUUCUCAUCCAUCUCGAUAUAUUUCAACCAAAUUUAAUUACUAUAUUUACAAAUCCUUUUAUAUUACACUGUGCAUUUAUACAUCUCAAAAGUAUUAAAGGAAAAAAAUAUAUUUAUAUUAUUAUAUAUCUCAACUUUUAAGUUAUCUGAAACUUUGAAUGUAAGAAACAAUAAAAACAAUAUCAUAAUAAAAUUUCAUAAAAAUAUUUUAUAUUUUUACGAAGGAAUCAUUAUAAAAAUUACUACCAUUAAAAGUAGAGUUACCACUAAUGAUAGAGAAAAGAGAAAAGAUGAAGCUAUUUUAAGAGCAACUUAAAAAGGUUACUUUCUAUCUUUAUUUGUAGUUUUCUUUUAAUUUAAGUAUCUAAUUAGAAAUUAAUCUUUGUCCAUUAGAUUAAAUGAAAUGCAGGUGAAAAAUCCUAAUAAGAAUCCUAAAAGUAAAUAUUUAAAUGUUAAAUUAAGAAUAAAUAAAUUGAUAUUUUCAAAAUAUUUUCUAUUUUUCAUUUAAGUUCUUAAUUUUAAUUAAUAAUAUGUUUUCAAAUUUAUAAAAAAAUUGCAUAGUUAAUUAUGAGAUUAUCAAUUUUAAUUUUAGUGGAAGCAUCAUAGAUGUAGUAUAUAUGAUCAUUUCAUGACUGAUUGGUUAACCUGUCUAUUUUUUAUAAAUAAAUAUUUCAACAAAAAGAAAAUUUCAAAAUUACGACAGAGUAUUGGAGUAAAAAUAUAAUUUAUUUAUUUAUUGUCUUAUUUAAAUGUAUUUAUCGUCAGAAUUUCUUUCUUGUCAAAUACGUUUAUUCGUAUUAGGUGUAAAUUUUAUUUUACAUUUCAUUGAGCCUUUUGGGUUGAAAUCUUCUUUCAUUAUUCUCUAAACACUAUCGUCGGCUUUAACUUUUUGGUUUACUUUUGCCUAUAUAUGUUUAGCAUUGAAAAAUUUGUUGUUUCUUGUUUUAUUAACUUUAUUGAUGAUAUUUUCCCUUAAGAAAAACCCUUCUAUUUUCAUUAUUGAUAAUUGUUAAUUGUGGCAUUUUAUGUGAUUGUAUUAUUUGGGUAUUUUUUGAAGUACAUAAAAAAAAAUGUCUUGUGUUCCAACUUUUUGGAAUACAUUGGGCUAAUUUUGACUGCAAUGUCAUUACAAUAAAUUUUUUAAAUAACAAUUGGAUUUAGAGAUAAAAAAUAAUUUUUCACACUAAUUUAUAAAAUAAAGAUCAUUGGUAUGUGUAAGGGCCUCAGAAAAAUAAAUAAGUCAUUGGUCUAAUAAGGACAGCAGGCCCACUCGAAUUGGUCACAUGGCCUUGGGGUCCCUUUCCCCAUUCAAAUUUUCAUUCCUCAUUUCUCUUCUCUCUCUAAAAAGAACCCUUGUGCCCUAAUCAGAAUUUUCUCUGUCUUCUCUCUAGGAUUCCAGCGAAUUCCACCGAUUGAAUCCUAAAUUAGUGGUGCUUCCUUGUUCCUAGAGUCAAGAGCUACGAAACCAUCUGAUUGGUUUCUUGUUUCUUCGGGUAAGAAAAUUUCCCUUUUUUUUUUUUCACUGUUCUUAACCUAGGGCAAACCAAUUUUUCUGGUUGCAUGUACUUUCCACGUUUCACUUUUCUGUCCAUAUUGUUCCAGCUCUAAAAAGUUUAUUCUAUCACCAAAUUGGUGAUUUAUAUGUUUUGUCCAGUGAGCGCAGUGUCAAGGUCACCGUUGGGAGCAUUCUCUAAAUUUUGAUUUUUAGCUUUCCAGGUAAGGAGAGCUAACUAUAUAAGUAUUUUGUUGUUCUGAUUAAUUCCUGAAUUUAUGAGAAAAUAUGUUGAAUUGCGUUUGUACACUGGUUAACUCUGUUUUGAUGCUCUAUGCAUGUUAAAUUUAACUUAUAUUUAAUUGUCUCUGUUUUAAGUAUUUGGUCUUGGAAUGUUCUGAACCUUUGGUUCAUUCUCUAUGUUUGAUUGUGAUUGUUAUAAUCUGCAUGGAAUUGUGUUGCUGAACUGAAUUUCAUUGAAUUGAUGAUCCUGGGAAUGAUUCUGUUUGUAUAUUGGUUAUGAUGUGCUAUGAAGGAAAUUGAUGAAUCUGGUUGCUGGUAAGUUGGGGAUACUGAUUUGAUGGGAAAUAUGGGUUGAGUGUAGCCUCAGGUUUUGUGAGAGGGAUGUAUAACUUCGGAAAAAAUAUAGAGCUCUUAGGCUAGUUAUAUAACCAGCAAAGAAAUUGGAUAGUGAGGUGAGGUUAGGAGCAAGCAUUCUAUAAAAAUGAAUAAUUUAACAAAUAAUUUCAUAAUUAAGGAAACAUUGUUUUGAAAUAAGUAUUAUUUAAUUACGUAGGUUGAAUUAUAUUAAUAUAAUAUAGUUACGUAUAAUAUUAUAACAGUACGUAUGUUAUUAUAUUUUAUUAAUAUAAUAUAGUUUUAUAUAUAAUAAUAGGUUGUAUAAUAUAAUUAUAUAAUAUUAUAAUAUGAAUGUGGUUUAAUAUAAAUUAAAAAUGUUUUUCUAAUGGUUUAAUAGAAAAUUUAUAAUAGAAGUAUAGUUUAAUAUAACUAUUAUAAUAUAGUUGAAAGAAACAUGGUUUUAUAUCUGUACAGGAUCUAGGUAUUGGAAAUAAAUUGUAAAAGAUUAUGGAAUUGAUUAACUUAGAUUAAUUUAGGGAAUGAUUAUUUUAAAAUUUGUGAUUGAUGAGUAAGGUAUUGUUGAGAUUAUGUAUAUGUUGAUUGUGAUAAUAUAUAUAUAUAUAUAUANNNNNNNNNNNNNNNNNNNNNNNNNNNNNNNNNNNNNNNNNNNNNNNNNNNNNNNNNNNNNNNNNNNNNNNNNNNNNNNNNNNNNNNNNNNNNNNNNNNNNNNNNNNNNNNNNNNNNNNNNNNNNNNNNNNNNNNNNNNNNNNNNNNNNNNNNNNNNNNNNNNNNNNNNNNNNNNNNNNNNNNNNNNNNNNNNNNNNNNNNNNNNNNNNNNNNNNNNNNNNNNNNNNNNNNNNNNNNNNNNNNNNNNNNNNNNNNNNNNNNNNNNNNNNNNNNNNNNNNNNNNNNNNNNNNNNNNNNNNNNNNNNNNNNNNNNNNNNNNNNNNNNNNNNNNNNNNNNNNNNNNNNNNNNNNNNNNNNNNNNNNNNNNNNNNNNNNNNNNNNNNNNNNNNNNNNNNNNNNNNNNNNNNNNNNNNNNNNNNNNNNNNNNNNNNNNNNNNNNNNNNNNNNNNNUUACAUGUUUAAUACAAUUGUAUGAAUUUAUAUAAUUAGCUCACCCUUGCCUUUGUUGUUUGUGUUUAUGUAUGUUGUUUGAUUCCCUGUUGCGAUGAUCAUCAUUCUUGGAUGUGAGUAGAGGAGAAUGACGUCUCCGUUGAGAACGCUUUGGAAGAGAACCACGACACUGCUGCUACUUAGUUCCUUAGGAUUUUUUUUUUUAAACUGUUAAAUUCUAUUUGAACUCUGAUGUAUUUUGACAAACUUUAGUAUCUUCCCACGUGUUUUAAAUUUCUUCUAAAUUUCCUGGAUUACUGUAUAUAAUCUAUGGUGACGUCUUGAUUUUUGUAUACAUGUAUGUUAUAAAAUAAAGAUGUCACAGUAUGAAUAAAAAAUUAUAAAAAAUAAUUUGUCACACUAUUUUAUAAAGUAAAGAUUAUUGGUUUCUAAAUAUUCAUUAUGAAUAAAAAAAUUAUAAUUACUCAUUAUCUAUAUAUACAUAAUUAUCUAUAAAUACAUACAAGAUAAUGUUUAUCAUUAUCGGUAUCAGUGGAAAUAUGUGUAUAUGUAUUUAUUUUUACAUUAUGAUGACAAAAGUUAUUUUUUUAUUUAUUAUUAUUAAAACAAAAAUAGUAUUAGAUUUUAAAUGAAAUAUGUUCAUAUAAAAUGAUUUUAAAAUAAAUAAUUUUACCGUGGAUAAUUUUUAUUAUAUAUAAUUGAGUUUUAAAAGAUUAACUAUAAAUUUUAAAGGAUAAAAUAAUAAAAUAAGAUAUAUUAAUAAUAUAAAAUUGAAAAUAACACGUGUAUACUAAUGUAAAAUCUUUAAAAAGUAUAAAUAUGUAAACAAUUACAUUUUUAGAAAGUUUGUUGUAUCUAAAUAAUCUCAUUAUAUAUAAGAUGACAUUUAUAAUCACAUAUAUAUCUGUAUUUUUGUUUUUAUAUGAUUAAUAAGCGGGUGAGUUUAAAUAAGAUUUAUUUUGAAUUAAAUUUGUUUUAAAAGUGAGUUUUAAUUCAUUCAGCUUAAGAUAUGAACAAGAAAUUAUUCUUUUAACACAUUUAAAUUUUUUACAUUUUUUACAUUAUAGGUAGGAGAUAGAGACUGAAUCUUUAUCUUUUUUUCUUUUCUGUUGAGUAAUACUUAUUUAAGUUUUCUGUUUUUCUCCUUUUUGGAAGGAUGUCGCUUUCUGUUUUUCUCCUUUUUGAAAGCAUGUCGCCAACCUUCGUUCCCAUGAUGAUAUAACAAGAUUCAGAAUCAGUCAUGCAAUGCAUUUUGGAACCUGGUCAAACACAAACCAGCCUUUUAUACUUGCUCAGCCUUGCUAGGGACCAAAGAUCCCACAAUUGCACAUGGUUCGAUUGGCAGAUCACAUGAUCCUAUGAGGUAAAUCACGAUUUUAAUAACAAUGGUACAGAUUCACCCUAAAAUCAGUAAGAUGAUUUACACCUCACUUAUAUAUUAUAGAUAUAUUAUAGAUAGAAAUUGCCCGAAAAUCAAUAUGUUGUCACUCUGCAAAUUUGGCGGCUCUUUAGUGAAUUUCAUCAGUGUAUACUAUCAGGAGCUCUGACCUAAUAGCUUAAUCUUUUUGGAGAGAUAAUCUUUAUAUUGUAUCAAAGCGUCAAUAGAAGAGCUCACAAGUUUGAUGCUUGAUGCCACUAUUCUAAAUAAAUGUGAAUUGGCGUGUUAGCAAGGCAAAAAAAAAUGCCCGAGUUCCCACAGAAUAGGUUAAGCUUUUGGGAGACUUUUAUCUUUGUCAGAGUGAAGUACGUCAAUUUUUUAAGGGUAUACCAUUUUAGCUAAAUAUGCUGAGAUUUUGGUUCAUGGCUCCACCUAAGUGUUCUACCCAUGGCUUUUUCCAGAGAGUUUCCGUUUCUAAUCCGAAGACAGUUUGUUUUCUUUCUCUCUACUGAAAUAGCUUUUUCUAUUAUAACACUUCUUGGUUUUCCUUCAUAUUCACACACACAAAAAAAAAAAAACAGCUUUCCAGCCAGAGACAUCUUUUUGCAGCAUAUUGAUUAUAAGAAUUCCAAAUACAAAAUAAGCUAAUCCAACCUAGAAGAAUAAAAAGAUCAAACAUGAGAAAGGUAACUCAACUUAAGAGCAGCUUGUUUGGACUUAGAUUUAUGUGAUAAAGCCCUGAACAUGCGAGGAAUCCCAUCAUUGAUAUCAUCUGCCAUUGACCCAUACGAAACAUUUUCCAAUCCAGUAAAAGAAAACUCGUUGAUGUUUAUCCAAGUCAUCAUCAUCAGGAAGCGCAUUUGAAUUGCUAUCUAUACUUCUGGGAGGUCCAAUAGACUGAGAAGCCAUUCCAGCUUCACUAUUAGCAUGACCAUUAGUAUGCCUCGAGCUUCCACUGAGUGGAUUAUCUACAGCUACACCAACAGUGCCUUUCCAUGACCUCGAGCAAAUACCACCCAUAUUAUGUCUAAUUGCUUGUCACUCUAUAGUUUUACUAUAUGUACACUAUGUCCAUACAACACACCCUAUAACCCUAUAACCCUUAACCCUAUUCAUUACCCUGCCCAAAAAGAACAAAAAAAAGAACAAGAAAGAAGGAAAAUUAAUUGCCAGUGAAAUGGUUGUAAUACGAUUGAUUGCCAACAAUGAAAUGGUUGUAAUAAAUUAUAAUUUAUUCUUAAAAACAGGAUAUGUCAUUAAGCUUUAGAUACAAUCCAUCAACAUAUAUAAUAUAUAUAAAGUUGGGUGGAGGAAACAUUUGAGAGACAAUUAUUAUUCGUGAAAUGUAAAAUUUCAUAACUCUGAUUUAUUAGCUAAGAAAAUGAGAGAAAGAGUUGGUAUAUUGAGUAAGUCAAGGAAAAGGUGCCCUCAACUUGAUCUCAGUCUGGUCGAUGUCAAUCGCAAAUCCUUUGCCAUGCUGCUUCCAGUAGUCAGCCAAGGGGUUGAUCAUCUCGGGUUCAGGAAUCUCUACCCUUGAACUUUUCAGGCUCUCUGAGGAAAUACUGUACUUGGCAUCCCUCUCAUGCACCAGCUCUGCCCUCACCAAACCAGGACUUACUGCUUGUGGAGACAUCAUCAGCGCAGGUGCACCCAUAGGAAGCCUGUCCCCUGCAUUUGUAAUUUUCAUCAACUAACCAAGAUCAUACCAUUACUUUUACUCCAACAUACUCGUGCAAAUACUUCAAAUUUUCUAUUAUAAAUACUGUAACUUAAAAAACACUCAAAAGAUGACCAAAUUGUUUCCAUGUAUGCGUACCUCUGUCAGCCUGCCAUGUACACCAGAACUUGCCGUAAGUUUUGGCUAGGUUUUCGAGGUCCGGUUUCCCAAUAAGCUCUGGAACUCUGGGGUUCACCAAGAGACCCGAUUUGACCUGCACGGUCCAAAUCAUCAUUUAAAUUUUCAAUUCCAAAUAGAAAACAAAAACACAUGACAAGCAAAGGAAAAGAUCAGAAUAAAAACCUCAUAAGCAUGAGAAUGCCAAAGUUUCUGUUCCUCCGGUGGCAUAGUUUCAAAGAUAUCAUCAGAAACAAUAUACUCCACACCUAUCAAGCACACAACCAAAACAUUAAACAAAUAAGUUAUUGAGUUUUGAGAAAAUCGAAACAAAAAGAGAGAGAAAACAAGAAGACCAAGAAGACGAGCAUCGGAUUCAUCGGAAUCGUAGACGGCGCAUUGGAUGAAAUUUUGGUGGAGUCUGGAGCAGUAGUGGUGAGUCUCUAUCUGGCGAGCCAUGUCGUGGCUAUAGAUGGCGAAGGAACACGAGUGGUGACUAAUCUGCUUUAUGGGCUCCAGUGACUGUAUCAUCAUUGCACUCUUGUCGAUCAUGUGCUGUCCCACUCCCAUCUCCUUUCCCGGAGUUGGUUCCGGACCCUUCGCCGGAGUCGGUUCCGGUGACUUGUCCGUGGAGGCCAUUAACUAUUGCAAGUUUAAGUCAAUCUCCUCUCUAGAGCGUGUGGAAUAUCAUUCCCUCAUGACUCGUAUAUAUAAGCCGA
rnacentral:lncRNA from 1 species